rnacentral:lncRNA from 1 species
UUUUUUUUUUUUUGUUUGGCUUCUGAGUUCUGAGACUUGUUUUUGUUAUCUCCUUGCAAAGUUGCAGUAUUGUAUUUUAGAAGCAUCUUGAUGCAUUUAAAUUUUAGGAAUAAAUUAUGCAACAUAUAUAUUGUGCGAUAAUCGGGAUGCUUGAUGAGUUGAGCUGGUUAUUCCGUCUCCACGCGGUUAGAUGCGUGCAUCUGGAGCGGAGCGGCAGAUGCUUGCACGGGCAGCGGAGUGAGCUGGGCGGUGGCGUGUGCAGCUCCGGCGGCAGGUUCAAGUCGGUGGAAGCCUGUCAGCAUCGCUUCUGAGCAUGCUUCGGGCCAACAGCAAGUAACCGGGCCUCGCAAGUCGUCACGGCUCAGGAAGGAGAAUCCACGUUUCCUCAGCCCAAAUUGGGAGUAGGCGUGCGUGAGUUUGACGGUGUCUUUGGUGAUAAUGUUCGCUUCAGGUUAUAAGCCGGCUGAAAAGUUGAAACAGCUGAUUUGUUGUGAGAGGAAAACACCGUUUGGUAGCUGAUAAGCCAACUGAAUAAGCUGAAGCGAACAGGCUCAUGACUUUUUACUACAAUUAUACAAGUUGCAGAAAACUAAUGUAGCUUCUGAUUUGACCUUCCCGAUCGCCGGCUUCAUGCUGGCAAGAAAGCCAACCAAACCAUGCCAGGAUGUCAGCAUCAAGUCUGGAGUUGCAAAAGGAGCAGUGGUCAGACGUUAGGGGCUUGCACAUGAUGAAAAGGUAACAUCACUACAUCAGCUUGCCACAAACCCCAGAGGUAAAUAAUUCAGAUUUGGAUGGCUGCUCCAAAACUAGACUUCGGGACAGAACAAACAAAUUGAGGAAUCAUUACGAGCAAAUCACGAACCGCUUGUGGACGAGAGACACAACGUUCCAUCGCAAAAUAUUUGAAAUAGUUCAGGCAAACACUCAAGACAACCUGAACCCGCUGUACACCAGGCAGGCCACAGCUGACGAAUAGUUCGAGCAGAGGCAACAAUGCGCAUAACCGAACCCAAACACUCUUUGACAACGGGUGCAUGUAAAGUGCAGUGAUCUGUUUGAUAGAAUGUUGAGAGAUGAAAGUCGUACAAGGAGACGAGGCAGAAUGUUCAAUUCGGGAAAAAAUGUAAAUCUUGAACCAAUGAUGCAAAGUCGAAAAAAGAGGAGCAAACGAAGAGUUGUAGUUGAAAACAAGGGUAACCGAUUACUCUACCAUGAUAUGGCAGAAUGAGCAUCAAAUUAGGUGCAUGCUUCCAGAAAACUCCAUGAUGCGACUUGUGAGCAUUCCUCGGUACAGGAGGUAAACAAAAUCUUCGCUCUAACAGCCUUGCUGUCCUACAAAUUAUUAUGCAUCGAGCAUAAACUUUUCCCGGGGCAAAAAAGACCUAUUUCACCUGUUUAAUGAGUUCCUCUCAUCAAAAGGAUGACGGACAAAUCAUCCGUUAAGAAAAAAACAAAAGAUUUGGGACUAGCUCUUGAGUGACUGAUACAAUUCCAUCCACCAAAUACGAUCUCAGGGAGUACUGAAAAAUCAAGCGCUGGCUUUCGAUUCAGCCUCUGCUGGGGCAGGAGUAACACCACCAGUUGUUGGGCUGAAAGAGGAAACAAAAUAAACCAUUAAUUGGUGAUCUAUCAAAAGAAUUUGGCUGCUGCAGCGUUCAUCGGGAAAGCAGAAGAUACUCACAGUCCAACCAUGACUUUGAAAGCAUCAUAAAUUCCCCACUGAGCACCAGUAAGGGUACCGAUCAUGACAAUACGAAGAGGAAGUCCUCUGGUGAAAAGACCCCAGAGACCAAUCUUCUUAACAGCCUGCAAGAAUACAGCAACAACAUAUAGUCAAACAGCAGCUAGCAACUACAUACAGUCAACCAACAACUAGUAAGUGCAACAAGAAGAUAAAAGGUUAGAGGCAAAAGCUUGAAUAUGCUUACAUCACCCACUGUAGCACCCUUGGCAUUGUUUAGGAAAGACACAAGGUUGUCAGCCGGGUGAGAAACAAUAGCACAGAAGACACCAGCAAUGUAGCCACCAGCAAAGCUGAUACCCAACUGGGUCGUCUUGCUGCACUCAGACUUGGGAACAGGCACGGCAUGCUUGUAGAUAAGCUCAACAAUGGUCUCAAAGGAAGCAAACUUCAUCAUGGUAUCUGCAUGCAUCAUAUAAGAAUUCAACUUUCGAAUACAGCUUAUAAGUGGAAAUGACAGCUUAUAUAAGAACAAAGCAUGUAACACAACUGAGAAUGAAGACAAUCAUUAACAAGAAACAGGGCAUUAGAGUUCCACACCGCGCAGUAAAGGUUUAAAGUUACACUGAUUUCUACUAAGAUGAAAUUCCUGGACAGUCCAAGAUAUGGUGAGAUGAUGAGAUUCCUGGUGUAAAAUAUCGACAGACGUCCAAUGCUUUUUUUAAUUGGUGUCCUGAAAUUCUGAAUCCCUAAAUAAAAUGUAUGGAGCAAUUUAGGAAGCACCUGACAUGAGUGUAGAAAACACCCCCACUAAAGCUCAUAGAACAUGAUAGACAACAACAGCAUCCAAAGCUUUUUAAUAAAUCGACAUCAUGCUUUCUAAAUCAAAAUGGAAAUCCCAACAAAUUUUUGCAAACAAUUUUACAGCUGAAACUUAAAGAUUCAAAACUGGAACAGACAGUAUGGGUUGACUUCUUAUUGGGCCACGUUCAACAGAUAAAUUGACUAUUCAACUUAUUGGGCCACGUUCAACAGAUAAAUUGACUAUUCAAUAUAUUUUAGUUCCAAUAUACAGUACAAUACAUGCAUUUUUGACAAAAUAUGUUUUGAUGUCACUGAUUUUAGAGAAAGGGGAACUCUAGUGAGAAUCACUAAAAUGAUGGAGAAACUCUAUAAAGUGCUACAGAAUACAUAAUGGUAGGGAAUUAUUAUAAAGCUGAAACGUUUGGUGUAACCACAGAGACAUUAAAAAAAAGGCUCCCACGCAAACGAAUAGUUCUUGAGCAUUUCCAAGUGAUCCACAACUUUGCAACAGCCAUUUACUACAAAUGAAGUAAAAAAAUGGACCUAUGUACCAAGAUGAUAACAGAUAUGAACUUACAAGGAAUCUGACGACCCCAGAGAGGAACAAUUCCCUUGUAGAGCCUAAAAUUAUUAAGCAGUAAGAGCUGUUAACAUGAAAGACCAGAAAACGAGCGUAAAAUCAUGAUGAUGAGUCAGCACGUUUUCUUACCCGAGAGCACCCUCAGACCGGACAAAUUUGGGGAGCCCAUCACUCAACCCACGAGCAAAUCCAGGCUGUGUCUGCACACGUACCUUCACAGCUUCGAAGGGGCAGAGAGCCACAUCAGCAAUUACCUCAGCAGAAGCAGAACCUGCGAGGUAGAUUAGAGUCUUGUACUUGUGGGCAUACUCAGGCCCUGCAAUAUCUGAGUAGUACUUCUUGAAGAACUCAUAGAAGCCAAACUUGCAAGCCCCCUGAGCACUGUAACCAAGCAAGGUAGGCACCCAUCCCCUGAAAAAGCCCCUAGCCCCUUGCUCCUUUAACAGGAUACCAAAUCCAGAUGAGAUGCUCUUGUAUUUCGCUGGAUCGAUCUGCAAAAUAAAACCAAAACUUGUUAUGUUGAAAAUCCAGUUCAAGCAUGACAUCAAUUGCUGCUCCCACAAUCAGUCGGUCAAUGACUCACUGUACUGAUAAUCUAACUAACUAUCUCCAGCUAUUCAUUAAAUGUCAUAGUAGAGAAACAUAGAAAAUCAAACCCCACUAAACAGAGAGCAAAGUUUCACGGUAGCAAAACCAGAUAGUUAGCUAGGCAUGGUUGUUUCUCCAGAUGUCAGUGUCAUUGCUAUUUGAAUUGCUUACCCUACUGGACAAAAAUUACAAAAAAAACACAAAUGAAAAGUGUUCGCAAGUUUAGACUGAUAUAAUUGAAAUAAACCUAUUGAAUAAAACAAGCCAAUUAGCCAACUGCCACAAUUCACAACUAGGGUUCAUUUGGUUCCAAACCUGAUCUUGCAUAAACCAAAUUGAUAACCAUUGAACAACAAAUUCAUUGAUAACUGCAAUUAAAUGAAUUCAGUGGAGAGACAUGUAUAAAAUUACAAAUUUAUUAGUAACAGAAAUGCUGAAAGCUGUGCUCUUAGAGAACUAGCAUAUACUAGUCACCAAUUCCAGCACAGAGUAAACAAAGAGCACCUUGUGUUGGAACAAACAAAGAGCAUGUCAAGACAAAACAAAGCAAAAGGUGUGGAUGUUAAUAACACCAGCUGUUCACAGGGGUAAAGCACAGUGAUCAAACUCACAGGGCUAGCCACAACUUCACAAAUCGGCCUGAAGCAACUAAUAAAUUGAAACGGGAGCCUACUGUAACCGUCAUACACUCAACAGCUACUCAUCUAGCAAGCAGCACUAUUCAUAAGUUCCUACACGACCUAAACAAAGCGCAAUGCAAAGCUUCAUAGGUAUGGUGACUUAGGAAGUGGCAGAUUUACGCAUCGACCAUGAAGCGCGUAAAAAUGGAGAUCAGAAGCCCACAACUACCAAGUCCCGCACUAAGCCGACCAAACACCGCCAGAUCCGCGCGAGAUUCCCCCGAAAUGGCGCCCCGGAAGCACCGAGCCCACAGAUCUAGAUCGCUGCCCCGCUCACCUGCAUGUUGCACUUGACGAGGUCGAGCGGCGUGACGGCCAUGUGGGUGAGCCCGCAACUGGCGAUCCCUCCGGCGGUGCAGGCGGCGUAGAACGCCGGCGAGUAGAGCUCGAUCUUCUCGUUGGGCGCCUGGAUCGAGAACGGCGCGCCGCCGCCGCCAGCUCCAGCAGCCGCGGCCGGCGCCGGGGCGGAGGCGGCGAAGGAGCGCGCGGGGGAGGAGGCGGCGAAGGAGCGCGCCGAGGAGGCGUAGAGGAAGCUCGGGAGGAGCGACUCGCGGGAGCGGUCGGAGAGCGCCAUCGCCGCCGAGAGAUUCGGAAGAUUCGUCCCUCUCGUGGGGCUUGGAGGGGGGGCGGGGGCUGGUGGUGCUUUCCGAGAGCUCUCGCGGUCGCGUGGAUUCGACGAGGAGGCGAAUAUGAAGGGGGGAUUUCCAACUUGCUAGGGCAUCGACAUCUUCGAUCGUCCUCUGAGAGUGGGCCCACGGACUGGGAGAGGUCCUAGCUUUUCGGUUGGUGGCGCCGUUUGUGCCUGGAGUGGGCUAGUUUUGCGCCUAAAACGUGUUAAACACUUCUUGCUCUAUUGCGUAGUACCGUUCAAAAGGAGGCAUAAACACUUUGGAGCAUGUUAAAUUUUCGUUUCAUAGCGUAAACUUCGUUUCCUUUUGAUUUUUUUAUGAAGAUCGAAUGUUGGAAGUGCCUUUUCUCAUUGGCUUUCUGUCGUUGUAAAUGCAUUUCAUCGUUCUAUGUGCACUAGCAUGUAACCGUUUAAAGUUUUAAUUUAAACCCAUUCCCACAUUUAUAUGUUGGUGGUGAAACGGUCGGUGCCUACUCAUCUCGUGCCCGUGAGCUGUGACGACUUCCUUCCGGGAAGGAGACUGGUGGCUAGAAUAUGCAGAUGAAUAUUCUGCCGGGGGCACUCUUGUCCCGCCCGCCCAUUUGACCUUGUACUCCGUAGAAUUGUAUCGCGGCCGAGUGGAAGAAGGAAGGGGGCGGGGCCAGAUGUGCCCCUGCGGCCCUGUGGCCUUCCCAGAGACGGGGCCGCCCGAUGUUAUGGUCAGAUCCCCGGCCAAUUUCUAAACACGACGAGGAGGCGCCGAGCGAGGAUUUGGUCAGAAAAAUUCACAAAAAAAGCUUUUGGGUGACGAAUUGGCGGCAACCACCAACUGGCGGCGCACGUUUGGGCCCAGACUGGGCUGACCAGUGCGCGUGUCUGCUUAUCUGGCCAGGCCCAUCACACGCUCCUGGCAGCUGUUUUUUGCUUCCCUCCCACGCGCGCCCAAGUACACCCAAGCCAACCGUCCACAGUUUACUUCCGCCCUCGCGCCAUCUCCAUCGCCUCCUGGCCGGCAAGCAACUCGCGCUUUGGCACCACGCACAAGUCACCGUCGCCGAACACCACACGCCCCCCCUCUACGAGCUCACCUCCCCUACCCUCACUUCACCUCUCUGCAGAAUCGCUUUCACCCCCCCGCAAAGCCAUCCUUUCCCACCCGUGCCUCAAUUUCCAAGUCCCAAUCCCAAUCAAUCAAAAACCCCCCGCGCGCGUUGCCUUAAAACCAGCGCCGUCUCAUGCAAAACUCCGAAGCGAUCUUCCGAGAGCUACAGCUACCUGAUCGAUCAGGCGUUCAAUCGACCCCCGACGCAAGGAAACCACGCCAUGUCGACGACGGCGCCCGCGCACUACGGCGGCGCGCGGCACCGGACGUGCCGCAUGUACUGGUGCUACCAGUGCGGCCGCGCGCUCCGCAUCAUCUCCUACCCGUCCACCGACGUCUUCUGCCCGCGAUGCUUCGGCCGCUUCCUCCACGAGAUCGACGCGCCGCCGCGCCCCGCUUUCCCGCCGCCGCCGCCGCACUUCCUCCCGAACCCGUUCCACCCGCAGCACCAGUACGACGGCCGCCCGCGACGCUGGGUCAUAUACGGCGGGGAGCCGACAACAACUGUACCAGGCCGCGCGUUCCGGCAGCCUGCGCUGUCGCCUGCACCGGUGCCGCCUCGGCGGCGCGUGCCCUCCCCUCCGCCGCCGCCGCCGGUGCCGCGGCGGCCGUCCACGCCCCCGGCCAUCGACCCGGGGAACUACUUCACGGGUCCCAACCUGAACAACCUCAUCGAGGAGAUCACCCAGAACGACCGCCCGGGCCCUGCGCCGGCGCCGUCAUCGGCCAUCGACUCGCUCCCGACGGUGCGGAUCACAGCGGCGCACCUGUCGGACGGCCCGCAGUGCCCCGUGUGCAAGGAGGACUUCGAGCUCGGGGAGGCCGCGCGGCAGCUGCCGUGCAAGCACGCGUACCACUCCGACUGCAUCGUGCCGUGGCUCCGCCUCCACAACUCCUGCCCGGUCUGCAGGUACCAGCUGCCCGGCGCAGGCGGGGGGUCCAACGGCGGCGGCCAGGCCGCGCCUCGCGGCGGCAACAGGAACAGGGAGCAGCGGGACAGAGAGCCCCCGACGAUGGUGAGGUGGGGCCCGUUCUCGUGGCUGUGGCCGCCGCGCGGGCUGGACGACCCCGACGACGACGCGUGGGAGCACGGGCGCCGCCGCAGGCAGCACGACGUGGCCGACGCCGGUGGUAAUGAUAUGACGGCCCUCCAGUCUUUCGUUCUCGUCGCAACCUGUGUUUUCCUCUUCUCCUUCUUCGCCUGAGCCAAAUCAAAAGCUCAAAACGUCUUCCAUGGACGUUGUACUACGAAGGCAUAACAUAACGGAGGAACACGCAAAGCUAAUUGUGUGAAAAAAUCUAUUUGUGUUAAUCAACUUUGCCAUGUUCUAAGCUGUUUUCUCAUCUCGCAUUUGCUUUCAGCAUUCUACGCUUGGUGGCGCUCUCUGUUUCUCAUCUAACUGCUACCGUGGCGUGGAGACGCUAUCGUAUCCCAGUUAAGUGAUCUGAUCAGGUUCUUAUCCUACUUCAGAAAUGCGGCCGUGCUAUGCUAGCAACCUAAUAGCAAUUUGAAUUGCAGGUUAACCCUGGAGCUGUUCUGCCAGUUCAAUGUGAAUUGUGGAAGUCUGCUGUGGAGAUGUAGACAGAAAGGAGCCCGCUGUAAAAGGCUUGUAAUUUACGCAUAGUUAAAGGAGCAUGCCAAAUUCAAGGCAGGCUCAGUGAAUGGUGUGUCAUGGUAACUUUAAGGUGUUUGGUUGGCAAAAUGUAAUGCAAUCGGAUUACGGAUGCUAAUGAAUUACAUUAUAGCUAUUUGUUUACAUCCAUCAGUAAUUGGUUAACACUGCAAUCAAAUCCCAUCCCACCACUAUACAAGCCUGUUACCACCCCUUCCCCUCUGUAAUCAGAAAACAUAUUAUCUGAUUGCGUUACCACAGUUGAACCAAACAAAGAAUGUAAUCGUCCAUUCCGUAGUUUAAAACUGCAAUCCCCUUCCAUUUACGUUCACGUACCAAACACCAUCUAAUUUCUAAAAAUGCAGCAGACAUUCUAUGUGAUGUGAUUGAUGCUGGCAAAGUUGCAGAACUUGUAAACUCAUGUUCCAUGUAACAUUGCACGGUAUGGUGAAAUUUUUUUCUCAUUGAUCUCUCAAUUUCUCAUAAAGAAAUUGAGCAGAUAAUAAAAAAAAUACAUGGGAGUUUGGAUGUCAUAAGGAGCAUCAUACAUAACAGGUUGAUUUCAUUCAAUAGUCAAUAGCAUAUAAAAAUGUAAAUCAGAUUCCCGUCUCUUGUAUCAAACUAUCAAAUUUAGUUUCGAGAGGGUCGGGCGUUUAAAACAUGGUUCAACAUGCUUUCGGAACCAGCGUGAAACCCUGAGGUGUAUGAUGCAUUCUUCAGACUCGUCUGCAAGGAAAACAUCCAGGUUAGUUAUGCUUAGCAACAUUUAAUGCAAAGGGGCUGCAUGUUAGAAAAAAAUGUCCUCUUCUGUUAUUACUAGUGGAUCUAGAAGUAAACCUAAAAUAAAACUGCACAUAUAUCACCAAACGUCAGCUUUAUAUUAUUGUAUCGGACCAAAAUUGUUCACAAUUAUGUGUUGAAAUGGAUAAUGAUGCUUAAUUUUACAUUUCCCCUCUUGCCAUGGGCCAGUCAUGUACGGAAAAUUGAGGUCUUCCAAAAAACAGCAGUAGAGAAACUAACCGUUAUACUCUCCAAAUCUGGGGCAGCCCGUCCCCUAAUGCCAUCUAUGAUCGAGGAAAGCUCUUCCUUCUUAACAUCCAAUUUCUUCAAUGCCUGUGCAGCACUACUAUCAACAAAACGUGCAGACUACUACAAAUGAAGGCUAUCAUAGAUAAGCUCACUGGCUUACCUCAGACAACAACAAUGGGGAGAUGAUGUCAAACACAUCAUUUACAAAUUUGUCAACACUGGUAGCGUUGGUAGGUUUAUCUACUUUGUUCUGCGAUGUUUCUGGGCCCUUGCUCUGAACUUUAGGCUUAACCUUCACUUCUGAUCAUGGACAAAUUGUCAUGCUUGACUAUUGAAAUUUAAGAGAUCAUAUAAGCUAAGUAAAAGUUACAAAUGAAAUUCAUAUGUAUAUAAGCAUACACCGAACAAUAAGCAACAAACUGUUGCAAACUCCUUGCAAUAUGAUGGUUAUGAGCCAAGGACAAAGAAUAGAAACUAAUAUAUUCUUUCUUCAGAAGCAAAAAUCAUUCCAGAAAGUAUCCUCACAUGUAAUUAAACAAUUCGUAACAACAUUCCCAGUAAAUAACGUACAUCAAGUACUACAAGAGAUACGCACAUUCCCCCAUGAUCACAACUGGUCACUUCAAUGGCUUACUAGUGGAUAGUAAAUUGUUGGUGGGGUUUGGAUUGUAUAGAGGUGGGUAUGGGUCUGCUAUGAGGUCUUUUCCAAAUCUCCUGUUUGGCAUGUAUGGGUUUUGGAAUCUGAUCCAUAGCACCCUUCCUAAAAUGACAAGCAUUUCUAUGCUUGCUAACUGCUAACGGACAUUUUUUGCAGUUCUGCAGUAGCCCAUUCGUAAGUCAUAACCCACCCAUUCCACCAGGAAUGGAUCAGUCAGAAAAGAAGCUCUCAUUUGUUAUUCCCAAAGCCUCCUCUAUUACCCAAACCCCAUUCCCAAACAGUGGAUUGAAUCUAACCCCGUUUCUCCUAAUCCAAAUGGCACCUUAUGUGAAUGGGAAUCACUAAAAUUAUCUCAUGACAGCAGCUACAUGAUUCAUUAUGGGGGCGUUUGGUUCCCUUUGCUUAUUUUUAGCACGUGUCACAUCGAAUGUUGAGAUACUAAUUAGAAGUAUUAAACGUAGACUAUUUACAAAACCCAUUAUAUAAGUGGAGGCUAAACGGCGAGAUGAAUCUAUUAAGCCUAAUUAAUCUAUCAUUAGCAAAUGUUUACUGUAGCAACACAUUGUCAAAUCAUGAACUAAUUAGGCUUAAUAGAUUCGUCUCGCCGUUUAGCCUCCACUUAUGUAAUAGGUUUCGUAAAUAUUCUACGUUUAAUACUCCUAAUUAGUAUCUAAACAUUCGAUGUGAUGGGUGCUAAAAAUAAGCACACGUAACCAAACCAGGCCUAUUUUUGCUGGCAGACAGUGUGUGGACCAAAGAUAACAAACUUACUCAUAUUAGUUUGCUCUAAUAGCAGUGAUAAACAUAUAGUGCAGAUUCCCCAACAAGAUAUGUUAGCACUACCAUGAAUUUUACGGGGUGUUAGCGGACAUCAUAACAUAUGUUACAUCAUGAAUUUUCAUCAUUAUUUAGGUAGAUUAGCACAUCUAACCAUAAAUUAGUCCAUGAAACACAAAAUUGUAUGAAAACAAUGAUGACAAAUUCAGAAUAUAUUUUUUUACAUUAUGAUGUUCACUAUCACCCUACAAAACUUUGACUUAAAACUCCACUUGUGCAUGGAGAAAAAAAAUCUUGUUUAGGGGUAAAUUGGGCCGAUUGAUAUAGUUGUGGGAGUAAAUAAGUACGGCAUGCAUGGAUAACUGACCUGUCUCUUUGGGCACAUUAUUUUGAUGAGGAACAUUAGUAGGUGUAGUGUUCUCAACUGGUUGUUCUGAGGAAUUUGGGAUACCAGAUGGAAUCAGAUGUGCUAAAUCAGGAGGACUAUCCUUACCCACAGCUGGUGUAUCCUGCAUCACAGCAGUGGUAUCAAUAUAUCUCUCCAAUUAAAAAAUGAAAGCAUACCUAGGCAAUCUAACUGUUACCUCUAAGUUCACAUAUGCCGGUUGUUUCCCAAUGGAGAUGAGAAACUUGUCCAGAUUGCUUGAGCUAAGAGCUGAUAUGAAGUAAAUUAGAAAUUAAAGAUCAAACUUAAGGAUAUAUAACAUUAUCCAGGUCAGGGUAUAUCGUUUGUGCAACUACACAGAAGCAUCAUGGGUGGCUAACAUACAGUUUGCAUUGAUAUCAGUAGCUACGAAUUAUCAGUAGUUAAAGUAAUGGAAUACCAUAAGCAAAAGAAGCAUUGAUAUUCUGAACCAUACCAAUUGUCACAUCAUUUGUCAGUGGAUGGAAGUAGCAGCUCUGUUUAGACUUGAAACCUUGAUCAAGUAAUAGUGAAACGGUACUGCCCACAAAAACACAAUUGUAUGACUCAGUAAAAUGGAUUACUUAAAAAGGCAACAGGAAAAAAAACAAGACACUACUUCAGAGUACAUGAUUAUAGAGUGCUAUGAAGCAGAAGUAAUUUAGAUGCGGAAAAAAAACAUUUUGGAAAGAAACACUCAAACAGUCCAUCUUUCAACAGUAAUAGAUUUUAUCAGGCUGUCAGAAAUAUGACUCAAAUAGAUGGGCCAGACUUCCACAACUAUCAUAUCACAGUUGGAACAACAUUAUGGUUGGUAACAGCUUUCCAUCAAUCAAGGGUAUCAUGAUUGAUAAAGAUAAGAGACAGACAAUCACACACUCAAAGCAAGACUCGUACCUUGCAGACUCAUUUAUUAAUGCAAAGGGGGUAACACACCCUAAGGGCACCUGGACAUAAUAAAAAAACAGAUUAGCAAGUCGUUUAAGGAAACAGUAAAAAACUGAGCUAUUCAAUUAAAUUCCUAGCGGAGCCUGGAUGCAACAUUAAGAGUACAACAUUGGUAAAGAUGGAGAUCCCUACAGAAAAACAGAAGAGGUCCUGACCCAACAAAUCGAUAGCAGCAAACUUAUUGGAAUGAUUUUCAGUGAACCUGGUAAACUGAAGGACACUACUUAUGCCCCGUUAUGCUCAUGAAUUAUCAAACCUAAAGAUGCACCAUGUUGUUUUGGCUUUGUUGCUCGUAUGAUUAACUGAAAGUUCUAAACAGCAUAUAAGUGGCUGACCUGAAGUACUUGUAGAAGAUUUUCCUCAGGAGCCAUUCGCAGACCGCCUUUUCCCAAACCAAGACGUUGGGAAAGAACUAGAAGUUGAAGGGAAACAAAACUAAUUAGUACAACAAAUGACCAAAUAAGCAACAGUAAUAUGUAAUCAUCGGCGAAGCUACCUACUUUUCAUGUCGACUUUGGUGCCAGCGAGGGCAGAAACAACAUAUAACCGAUGCUUCUUGUCCUGCAACUCAUAAUUCAGAAAACAUUAAUGCAUGGCGACAUGUGCAUCAGUUAGAACUGUAUGCCAUCAGUUGCAACAAGCAUACCUUCAAGAGCAAAUUUUUACUCAGAGCACCUCCUAAAUGGCCAACAUGUUUCGCCUGGCAAAACCAAAUAAGAAGUCGAUUAGCACUCACGAUGGUUUAUCGGAAACCAUAGUAGAACAAAGUAUGGACUCCUUGGUUCACUGACCUGUUCCUCCACUGUCAACACAACAGGGUGAUCAUAGCAUGUGAAGUCAAUCUUGAGCUCCUGCAGAAGGCAAUGGCAACAGAUCAAAACCUAUGCUAGGAAGCAAAGUGUUUUCAGGUUGCAGCAUCAGGAGGCAGUCAUUUGGUAUAACUGCACUAUUCCCACUUCGAUUUAUGCAUAUUUGGGGAUAAACCCUUGUAUAACACCGCACAACUAAAUUAAAUUUUGAUGUAACCACACCUUUUAGCGUUGGUUUUAUGGUUAAGCUAAUUCCCAACAAAAUCAAGCUCGACGGAAGUAUCUCGAUGAUGGUAGAGCCAGGGGCACUGGCCAAAAGUGCCGAUUUGAUAGAUCUCCGUGGCCAGGGCCCUACGCGAGAAAACAAUCCGAGAAGGCUGUGAGCAAUAGAAGGAUGGUACCGACCUGGAGGCGCGCGAGGAGCUGGUCCUUCGUGUACCCCAUGGCUGGCGACGGCGACGGCGGCGGCGGGCGGGUAGGGGGAGGCCGACUGCUAGUGCUCUGCUUACUGCUCGAGAUGCGGAUGCGGCGGAUGCGCGAGACAGGCCUGUCAACGAGCCGAGACUCUGGGCCUCUUGGGCCAUGGAGCCUUGGGCUUAGGCUUGGGAUUUGGUGGGUGUGUUGGGUUUGAUGAUCACGAAUUGGACCAGGAUAUGACGUGCUUUUCAACGUCAUCGAGCCUUGCCGAGAAGUUCGAGCUCGGCUCGCGAGCCAAGAGUUAGGCUUCAGCUCGGCUCGAAUUUCAAUCGAGGUGAUGUCGAAUCGGGUGUAUGACGAAGAGUCGAGUUCGAGCAGCUCGUGUUCGCUAACCGGCCCGAUUCAAACUGUUGGUUUUGCCUUUCCUUGAAAGCCACGUUUUUCUUCUUUCAAAUCUUGUGAUAGUUAGCAGUACAAAGUGAAUUCUAUGUCCCUUUUGUUUUUGUACUGGAAUUCGCUCUUGCUUGCUUGCUGGAUCUCACUGUUUUGACAUGAGUAUGUGUAGUCGCACUUCACAGCAACAGUUACUCCCUUUGUUGAUUUCCUCAUCAUUUAAAUCUAGUGACAGCGGUUGUAAUUGCAAUUUGCAAACGCAUGUUGAAAUUUCAAAGCACUGCAGAAGCAACGCAGCCUGGAUUUUCAUAGCACAGCAGAAGCCUGAUCUUGAUUUCUUCCUUUUUUAAAUCAGAAUUCUAGCUAGUAACAAAUCCUGCUCCUUUCCUUUCUUUACCUCAGGGGACAAAUCUCUUUUAACUGUGGCAGUAGCUUAAUAGCAUCCAAGGUUCGGUUUAAGAGAAUGAGGUACUGUCACUGUAUGUUAGUAUAAGCACAAAAUAAGGGCCCAUAAGUCAUAUGGCCCACACAAAAUUUUCAGUCGCAAGGAUCCCAGAAAUCCUGCAUCUACUGGAUAACAAUGCUUUGGACACAAGUAUGAGGACAUCAUCAUAAUUCAUUACUUGCACUUGCAGAAACACAGAUUCUACACAUAGCAUGGCAUGCAACUGAGAGGAGGUUUGACUGCAUGGAAAGCUGCCUUAAAACAUGUAGCUCCAUGAGAGCCCCCCAACAUUGCACAAUUAGCCUAGCACUAGUAGUACAAUAAUUUACUUCUAGUAGUAGUAGUAUAUAUGAAUCAAAUAAUCCUUAAUCGUAUAUAUAUAGUGCUUAUUGUACCGUGACCAAUUCUUGAUCACCGUAGGUUGCGGUAGUGAUUAAUCAGUCAGUUUUGAGUUGAUAAUAAAUGAUGAUGAUCACUUGAGGCGACUCGACCGCCGAGCGGACGUUUGGUGGAGGAGCUGAUUGAUCAGUUGACGGAGGAGAAGCUCCAGAGGUUGAUCUCACCUUCCUCCUCCCACUCGUUGGCCGCGUCCGUCGCCAUGGGCGCUGGCGCGAAGAAGGAGCUGCAUGGGUCCAUCAUGGCGUACUCCAUGCACUUGGGCGACUGGAAGAAGGCCUCGAUGUCCGCGAGCGCGGCGAGGUCCGCGUCCCCGGUCAUGUCGAUGUCGUCGUGCGCCAUCUCGUAGUACUGGCCGGUGUUCCCGGUCUCCGGGGAGCUCGCGCCCGACGACGCGUCGCCGUAGCUGCACGGCGGGGUGGUAGCGUUGAUGGCCGCGGCGCCAGAGUAGUAGGGGGCGCCGGCGCCGGGCUGCAGCGGACUGCAGCCGGCAUUGGCGGCCGCGGCGGCGGCGACGCGCUGGAUGGACUUGGGCGACAUGGCGGCGGCGGGGAUGUGGAAGGGGAGUGGCACGGGGAAGUUGAGGUCGGCAGCGGAGCCCUUGAGGCAGAGCAGCGCGGCGUCGUAGGCGCGCGCGGCGGCCUCGGCGGUGGAGUAGGAGCCGAGCCAUAUCCGCGUCUUCUGGUUGGGCGCCCGGAUCUCCGACACCCACGAGCCCCAGCUCCGCAUCCGCACGCCCUUGUACUGCCGCUUCCCGGCGCCCUGCUGCCUCGCCGCCGCCGCCGCCGCAUUGCCGGCGGCGCCGUCGACCGCCGCGUCCUGCAGCUGCGCGCCGCCCUUCACCAUGUCGUAGCGAACCUGACCCCCUGUCUUCUGAUGCUCUGGCUGCUAGCAAAGUUUGAUGCGUGAUGUCGACGGUUGGGAGUGCAAGAGCUCGAUCGAGGAAUGCAACAAGAGAGCAAGCGUCGGAGUGGGCUAGCUGGGGUAGUAGGUGUGUGUGUGGCUACCGGCUGGUGCGGAGCGCAGCGUCCGAUGGCUUAUUUAUAGGACGCGGCCGCAUCAGACUGUGCGUAGAUUAUUUGUCUCGCCUCAUUUAGCUGUGCGUGUGAUGAACAUUUUUAUAGCGAUUUUGUUCACAUCACGCUUGAUAUUUCCCGUGUUUCUUUUUUGGCCCAAUACAGCAUCGAUAUUCGAUCGUACUUCGUCAGUACCACCAAUCCACCGGUCUGCAAUAAUUCAGAGAGGAAAAUACUAGGAUAUGGAGGGGAGGAGCGAAGGAUCCUACACACUGAAACGGAUCAUUCCGACGUACGCAGCAUGUCAGCGGCUCGCGAGGACAGGUUGUACGCUUCAAGUUUACUCAAGUGUGGAUAAGCCAUUGAGCAGCAGCCGCCAUCAGCAUGCAUGCCGCAUACAUGAUAUACAUGAUAAGUAUGAUUAGUGUGUUGGCGUGCCGUGCAGUGGCUUGCAUGCUCGAUCGAUCGUCACCAGGGAGAAUAACAAUCGAUCGGUCAUCAUUAUGUGCUGCACAGACGUACAAACUAGACUGGCCUGGUCAUUUUACCGGUUUUUUUGCGGUUGGUGUAAUGGUGCUAGACCAACGUUCGUGCAUACAGAUAGAUGAGCUCGAGCCUUCGUCUUCUGUCUGCGUUUACCAUGUCUUUUUCUGAAGCUUGUAUACACUGCUGCCUUGACAACAAUUUACCGCUCGACACAUAGAGUCACUUAUACCUACCACUACUAGUCAAACACUAAGUAGGUCACAUCUCGUCACGCUAAUCAUGUAUUCGUAACCUGUUCACAUCAACAAGCACGCUCGAUUGGCUAGCCACGCCACAUUGUCGCCGUCCGUGUACACGGCCAGGCCAGCUAGCGAUACCCAAGACAACAGGAGGAAAAAGUCUUAACACACUUUAGAUUUUAGCUAGGUAACACACACAUCUACCAGUCCAAUCACCCAGCAAAGUCCUACUUAACCAUGUGCUAAAUUACUUUCCCACUGUGAACAGCCGACGGGUUGACCACGCACAGGGACGCACUGUGCACCGCCCAUCCCACCACCCCCCUUCGUCCCACACGAAGGCACGUAUGCGUUGCGCCCCCACCAGUAUUCAACAAAACAAUGGCACGCCAGGCAGAGGUCCCACCGAUCUCGAGCGUACGUCGGUGUCCCCGGCCGUACGGCACUAGCGCGAUCGCCAGGCCGCAGGAGCACCGGCUGGCAGUCUCUGGCACGCGCCCGGACCAGUGUCCCCGUCCCCGACCCGAAAUUCUGGCAGCCAUGGCCCGCGCGGCCGCGAACGAGCCGAGCUGCGUGUGCGCCGCUGCGCGCGUGCACAGUAGUGAGAAACCACGCGCGCGCCUCGAACACGUUGCCAGGUGGAGAGCGUACCAGGGUGCCGCUGCUACCGGCCACUAACAUGCGCGGCGCCUUCGCGCGCAGCUUCGUCGCACGGUGGGGGGACGCGACGGCGACCCGAUCGCUCCGUUGGAUAUAGCGGGAGCCGGAGCCGGGAGCCGCCGUGCCGAGGCGGAUGGCGUUGCGUCGCGUGCGGCGUCAGCAGAGUGGGGAGUCCUGGCCUGGCGCAACAACCAACCAGCCAAACGGCGCGUACGGAGGUGGGGGUGGGUUCCGCUAGCGUUUUGGCUUUGGUCAGUGGCGCGCGGCAGGGGAAGGGCGGGGAGCUGCAGCUGCUAGCUGGAGCCGCACUGGCCUCCGACCGCAAACCGCGUGGAGGUGAUGCGGAGGGGGUGACCGCCUGACGGGGACAGGUGAUGGAUGAGAGGGAUAUGGCCUCGGGAUCGAUCAGCUACCAUGUCCUGCCUCCUGUGGCGGGCGGGCGCGACCGGGCAUGGAAACGAAAUGAUGGGUGGAUGCUGUGGUGGGGGAUUCCGCUCCGGGAUAGCGAUGGGUGCUUCCUUUCCAUGCUUUGGUCGCGCUGACGUAGCUCGGCGUAGGACUCUACUCGAUCUGCUCGGGCAAUCCAUCUGUACUUGAUCGGCUGGCACUGGCAAGCCGUGCGAUCGAUUGUACGACGUGACACUGAUCGGGGCAUCGGGCACAUGUUUACCGUACUGUCUGAGCUACAAAUACUUAAGCGUAUGCGUUGUGGACUUGGGCCAGUGUACCCACGGAAGAAGGAAUGACAAAAAUGUGCCGGAGCCCGGAGACAAGUGACGGUGGGCGGGGGCAUCGUGCCAGCGCAAGCCUUGGUUCAUGGUAGCUGCUUCAAAAGUUCAGCCUGUAUGAACGCAAAGCCAUCCCUCGUCGUUCGACGCCACGCAUGGUUUGAGCGCAUGUACACGUGGGCACUCAGCGAGCGUAUAUUUGGUAGCAACUAGCAAGCAAGCUUCGCUAAGUAGCGUUCUCACAUUCACAAACGCCAUGCUUUCUCACCUUGGGAUUCAAACACAUCAAUCGUUAAAAUUGUCCGGCUCCUGUUGAUGAACACAGACAGGUAGCUUUCAUGAUCAGUUUUCACGUACUGAUGCAAUGCAGGGAACAACGAACAAUGAAUUAUCUGAGCUCCCAGUCCCGCAUUGAACAUCACUGCAUCAGCUAGGCGACUGAACGAUCGACACCCAUUAGCUGCAUGCCUGCAGCAUCGCAAUGCGAAAUAAUGCUAUCCUAACCAAGGCCCUGACGGUCCAGAUGGAUUAGCAGUCUGUAUUGUUCCACGCGGUGAUGCCAGGCAUUCAGCCAGUGCUACAGACACCCGUACACUAAACAUGGAGUACUAUAAACAAGUGGCCAUUUUAGUCCAGAUCGAAAAGCGUGGUUAAUUGGCCGGCCAGUCCAACUCCGGGUCCCCGGCAUGCCGCCGCCGCCGCCGCCGCCCGGUUCCAGGCCACAGGCCGCCAGCUGCUGCCCUCCGGAUCCGAGCCCCACCGCGUGCUCGAUCUUGACUUGGGGCGUCCUCUCCUCUGUCCUCUCCAUGCCCUCCCUCCCUUUCCGUUCCUCCGUACACAAACACACACACUCCACGGACCACGGCCAUGCACUCCAUGCCAUCAUACCCUCGGCCCUGCUCGGUCCGACCGCCAUGCUGCUGCGGUCGUCGCCACUGAAACUGAACCGAACCUAGCUAGGAGGCUUGGCUAGCAGCAGCAGCCACACAGAGCACACAGAAAAUCUCUGCGUGCUCAGGCCCCAUCUAGCUGGUGGUCUCCGUGUGCCCAUGUCAUGUGAUUGGUCUAAGAAGGAAGCUACCACUGCUACUAGUAGUAAAACAAAAUGGAUUCCCCAUGACCUGUUCAGGAUGAGCUUGUUUAUGCGACGCAAACGGCCGGUGAGAAGACGAUCGAUCCUCCCAGGAAGGAAGAUACCUUGCGGCUCGGCUCUGUGUACUUGUUUAAUCGGGGGCGAUGUUCUGGUGCAAUGCAUUCAUUGGGCUGGCUGGGGUUCUGUUGGCCCAGGGGGCAGGAUGCCGGAGUAUACGAGUAUCUAAUUACCGACCAGGACAUUAAUCGGUCAAAGUAGGAUGCAUAGGGCUGUGGCCUUUUUCUUUCUUGGCUUGCAUGAUGAUGGAGUGAAGAAAAGGAUGGGUAAAAUGGCGUCCAGACGUGAUGCGAGUAGUGCAGUCUCCCAGUCAAGUCGUCAGUGAAUGGUGGUGCUUGUUUAUAGAGCUAGCUUUUCGCAUGAUGCGAUGUUUGAUAAAGGUUUACAACUAGAAAUGUGGUUAGAAAGCUAAACAUUACGAUUAGAUGAGUGUUUAGCAUUGCUACUGAUCUUCGUUUUGGCUUGCAAAUUUUUCCUUUAUGGCAGCCAAUGAUAAACAGCCUUGUGCCCUUUUUCGAUGCAGCAGUUGGUGAAAUUUCCUUCUUUAUUACAAUUGGCAAGAAUUCUUUAUUUUCUGCAAUUCACAAUCUACUCCUACUCUACAACAGGUAUGCCUUCUGAAAGGAAUCCCAACUAUGAGAGCACAUGGUAAUGUGGUAAACGAACCAACCUGCACUCAUCACUUUCUAGAUGACUAUCCUCGUGUCAAUAAAAGGACGAGUUGUCAUGUAUCGGUGUUACCCUGGGAUCGAGCACAUUGUGUGAAAGGCACAACCUGCCGACGAGUAUCCCUCGGCAUAUCAAACUGAGUGCUACAGCUUUCAACUAUCAAGGAAAAGGUGCAGUGAACAUGCUGUUUAUGAUGACCUCAUGAUCCAGCCUGACCAUGACUAUUCCCUAGUAGUUUAGUGCCGGUAAUGUUCGACUACCUGUUUGCCACGAUACACACAUAAAAGAAAGAUGACAUAUAUAUAUGCUAACAAGAGAGAUUGAGAGAGAGAGAGAGAAGACGGUCUUCUGUAAGUGCGAUGGAGAACCUGAAAUCCAGGAGGGUCAAAAGGCCAGGAAGGCAAGCUAGCGACCAAAACCCCGCCCCAUUUUUCAAACAGAAUUAACAUCAUAUCCCGAUCAGAUUCAGAUACUAUACUCGAUCGCUAGCACCACAUUAAAUUUGACAACAUUGCUUUCAGAUCUUUUCCCUUAUCUCGCUACAUGCAGCGGCAGACGUCCGCCUCAGACAGGUGUCCCGCGACGAAGAGCGAGGGAGGAACAGGUCUCCGAGAGGUCAUCGAUCGAUCAGCAAACUACUCAUAAAUAAGCGCGCGCAAGCCAACGGAUCAGCUGCCGUCAGAGGCCCACGCGCGACGCGGUUUAACAGCCUAGCCCGCAGAAGAAAAAUUCCCUCCGAUGUGAUGCGAUCGCUUCACGAUCGAGCCAUCCAUCCAUCCAUCCAUCAGCUCGUGUUUUUCUUUUCCGGGGGCUCGUCGGAUGGAUCGUCAAAGUGGAUGGAAAUGGACAGCGGGAGUGGUUAACCCCUUGCAGCAGCCGUAUCUUUCAGGCCUCGCCGGCAAGGAGCUGGCCUGCAUUAGGAGCAGGGGACAGCGGAUGGGCGAGGGAAGCUUCCGGUUACGUGCAAGCCUGCGAGAUGAUUCGCGUCUUGCCUUUUGGGCGAUUGGUUUUUCUAUUGUGCAUGUGAGGGGGAGGGUGUUAACCUGGCUAGCUGAAGGGCAGAGAAUUCUGCCGGCUGGAGAACUUGCAGGGUAUCGGUUACCUACUUGCUUGCCUAACAGUUGGGAUUCCGGGAGCGUGGUGUUGCGUUUUUGUAGCUCGGUUUUAGGUUUUCAGAUCUCCUGCCCAACUUUGUGCAGUUACUGUUUUCUGCUGUAGAUGGGUUAGUACUUGAUGUCAGGAUGCUUUGAAAGUUCUAUUCAGUUCUUCAGAAAAAGAUGGCAACUCUUCUUGCACCAGAAAAGGAGGGCCAUCUUAUAACUGUCUUGCACCAGAUUUCUUCUACUUGUUUGUGCGUGCUGUCUGGCCAAUGGUCAGGGGUAACUUUUGCCAAAGAGGACCAGAUGUUUUGCCGGAGUCAAGACUCACUUGAUCAUGGUUUACGACAUCCAUCUAGAUCCAGAAUCUGGGACAUAAGAAUUUCGGUUAUUUUGUACUUUUAAACCUAAGAUCCACAUCAACCGACAACAGCAUGCGAGACCAUUUCAAAAGUUUUAGACUUGAACCAGGCUACGUUGCAAGGAGAAUUGAGAAUAAAGAAGGAAUGUGCUGCAAAGUUAUAGGAAUUAGCGACAGCUAUACUGCAAAAACUUCUUACAUAAUAAUGAGAUUCCAACUACUACAUACUUUAUAUGAUAGUGUUCACAACAAUCACACGAGUGAUCUGCCUUUUACAGUCACUGAUAGUGUUUACUAAUAACGUGGUCAUGACAGUAAGUGAAAAAAGACGAUACAUUUUUCCUCUAAAAUAUCUUGUUUACUAAUAUCUUUUCUUAAAUAUCUUGCUUAGAGGUUAAGUCAGCCUAUCUAUACAAAGAGAGUAGAUAUAUAUCAAUCAAACAAGCAAAUAAGAUAAAUCAAUAUAUUAUCACAUUCUCUUUCUUUCAUCUUUGCUCUUGUGAUGUGGCUGCCACCAUCCAGCGAGGUCGUGUUGCUUCAGUUUAGGUCAUCUAAAUUCAUGUUCGUAACAGUUACUCGUCGUGUAUAUAUAUAUAUAUCAAAAUUUUAUCCCAAAAAUGGUAGAAAGACUUUACUAAAAUGUUUGUUUUGCUUGUUCCAAAAUUUUGGUAGAAAGUGGUAUAAUAGGCCCAUUAGAGUUAUAGGUGGAGAUAAGAUUAAAUAUGUUGCUUAGAGGUUAAGUCAGUCUGUCUAUUUAUAUAAAUAGAGUGUAUAGAUUAUGAGUGAUCUUUGUAUAAGCAAACAUGAAACAAAAACAUGAAACAAAAGAAAUAAAAGAAACGGCAACCUGAUGUAUAUGUGUUUAAGGUGCUAAAACUGCAUGCCAAACUGCUGCAUGGCUGCUCCUGCCAGGGUGCUUGCCUGUUUCAAUGCCUUUAAAUAGAAUGCAUUAACAGAAAACGCAUCACCAAAUUUACAGAAACAUAUCAUCAUCACAACUAAAGAGUUUUUUGAAAGUAGAUAAACUAUAACUUGGAUCGUUCAUCAGAUGCGGUUCUCAGACCAAUUGUUCAUCAUGCCUGACAAUAAGUGCCAUAAAAACCAUUGCAUGCCCAUCCAUACACCUAUUACACACAUGGUCAUGGAUGAUGAUAUCUCAGGUUGAUGUAGAACUGAUGAUACCCUCAGGUAGUGAAUUACGUGAUCCAUUCAACUUGUGAUUGAUUAAGUAUCAGAGAAUCUUACACCUAAGAUUCCUAAGAUUUUUCUUGUUCAACUCACAAAACGCCAUCUUACGAGUAUCUGGAUUAUAAUGCUUCAAGAACAUCAUCGCAAAGAACCUGCUGUCAUUACUGUCUUGACGAGGGAGACCAGUUAUAAUUGGCAUGCUCCAACUUGAGAAGUCGAACUUGCUCUGUGUGAUCUUCAAAAUAGCUUCACCCAGCCUCGUCCUUAUUUUAGAGGCUACUGGUGUGUGCCAUUUUUGCUUAUCUUUCAGCACUGUCGACCCGGAGUCCAACACAUCGAUUUGUCCAUAACUUUUGUUGACAAUGUAUACUGUCCAGUAUGAAUUAUGGCAGACGGGCAAGAGAAUCUAUGCAAAAAAAUAACCAUGAUACUGUGUAAGAAUUCAACUACAUGUCUAUCUUUCAAAAGUAUAUGUCUGGCUUUCGAAAUAUGCAACAACAAUAUAAGCAAAAUACUUAGAUGUCUGGCUUUCAAAAUUUGCUCAGCAUUGUAUUGUUGUUUCAGUUCUUCAACAAUUGAAUUAAUAUUGUAAUCUUCCUUCUUAAGCAACAGCAAUUCCUAUGAUGAGAAGAUAAAAGCAAUAUUAUAAGUGCACAGAAAAAAAGAUCAAUGAGGAUAAAAACACAUUAUAAGUGCACACAAAAUUUUCACUUACAGAAAUUUUAGGAUACAGGAAGAUCCUGUAACCCACAAUAUCUGGUCCAUGAUAACUUUCAUCAUCAAUGAGACAGCUUACAUACAUCGACAUCACCGUGUCUUCACAGAAACAUCUCGUUCCAAGAAUCGGUCACUACUUUGUUAUGAAGACUCAUGAAAACAACACUUGUGUUGGAAAUGGAAAUAAAUUAUUAUCAGUGCAAGUUUCAAGAACUACUGAACUAAAAGCAACAUCUACAAGUAAAGAAUGUACCUCGUGUAUUCUUCAUUGUCAAUUAUCUUUUCCCAAAGUUGCAAUUCCAAUUGUUCAUCAACCAGAUUUUGGGUCCAAGUAUCUUCUUUAUGGAAAGGGGAGACCAAUAAGCGGUCUCUUUGGACUACCAACUCUUUCCUUGCGUUAGCUUUCAAUGCCUCUUUGACAUUUCUUCCGUCCAAUGAACUCUUUUUCUUGGUUCGUAGAUCAUUUCUCUUUAAUUCUUUCUCGUUGAACUCAUCCCCAUCAUCUGAAUUUUCCCCACCUAAUGUCCCCCCAUCCUUGUCAUCUUCUUUCUUGUUGCCCUCAUCCCCAUCAUUUGAUUUUUCCCCCACCUGAUGUCCCCCCAUCCUUGUCAUCCUUCUCAUGUUCAAUUCAAACAAUGAAACUAGGCAGGCAAAACCCAGGUUAGGUAGGUAACAGCCCAGGUUCUAGAUAGGUAGAAUCCUACGCUGGUAAACUCCUACCUUUUGUUUCUUUUUCUUUCUUGCAUCUUUAUCUUCCAACAUCCUUUUUGAAUGCAUGUAUGUAAAUGCGCCGCUCAACACGUUAUCUUUGUGCUCAAGGAGGAACCAUGCAGUGUGUUGGCGGCAAAUGAGGAUUUCGUCCUGCAUUUUUAUCAACAAUGAGCACAAUCAACAGAAUCUAAUCUACAAGAGAAAUAUGAUAAGAGUUGCCCAGUUACCAAAGCUUGUGACUUGCUACAGAAAAGGCAGGACUAACCUCACCAAUGUUCUUGUAGUUUCCAUCCUUAUAUCUCAUUAUGUACAGAAGCGUAUGAAAACCACAAUCAUCACUGCAGAAAUAAGAACAUGAGCACGAAUUGAGGUAUGAAAUUAGCAAAUAACUUGAUAAAGUAUGACAUUAGGAAAUAGCUGAAAAUUUACAGGUUCUUUUGCUUCCAAACACUUGGUGUUGAAGAUAAGAAGUUAGUACAAUUUAGGCCUAUUGAACAAAGAAAGCGUCUCAGUGCGAUUAUCUGCAAGAGUGCAAUGGAUCAGUUGCGACAGCUUAGGGUGUAACGAAACAGUAUCAUAUAUUUUCUUUGCAAGGCAUUUGAUGUUGAAAAUAUCUAACUAGUCCUUCAUGACGUUUUGUGGAUCCCUCCAAGUCACUCAAGGAAUCAAGUACACUUAUAAGAGUUAAAUCCGGUUCCACCACAACCAAGGACCAGUGAUCUGAUGAAAGGAAUGGGACAAAAAUCUGCAAAAAAAGAAUCAAUCAAAUUAUUGAUGGUUAUGGCAUAACAGGCCAAUUGGGUCCAACUAGCCCACAUCAUAAGAUCCAUAUACAAUUCCUAAAAAGCUACUGCCAUAUCUACAAUUCCUAAACAGCUACUGCCAUAUCAUGCAGGUAAAAGCCCAGGUUCUAGACAAGAAAAAUCCUAGGUUAUAGGCAGGUAAAAUGAAAGGUUCAAGGCAGGUAAAAGCUAAGCUUUCGCUGGUAAACUCCUAGGUUUCAGCCUCAAGGUGUGGGUGUGUGUGACAUAGUCUGGAACCUAGAUUUUACCACCCCUAACUUGACAUUUUACCAGCCUGGGACCUGCCUGCCUGCCUCAAGGUGUGGGUGUGUGUGACACAGAGAGAGAGAGAGAGAGAGAGAGAGAGAGAGAGUUGAGAGUUCAAUGAAUCCUAAGCUAACAACUAUUACAUCAAAGAGAUAUAUUUAAGAAUACAAAUAGAACUAAAUAGAAUUGGAAAAGGUACAAACCAUUUUUAUUUCCGAUAUGUCAUAGUCUUUGAAUUCUCUUUCAAGAAAACCAGAUCUUUAUCCACCCCUAACAAUUGGUCCUAGAAAAAAAGCAUGGUGAAAGUUGAUCACUAAACAACAUAUAUAGGAAGCAGUAGUAAUAUUGCUAAUUGGCACUUACCACAGCACCCCUAGAAAGCAUAAUCAUGUCAUUCCUUGGCUUCCAUGAUUCCUUCAAUAUUAACCUGAAAAUUUCCAUGACAUCAUCGCACAAGUGACCACCUGGUUUGAAACUCUCCACAAACUUUAACUCCGUCAUCUGAAUGUCAUGUAUUUGCACUACAACAGUUUUAGCCAUCUCUUUUUUUUAUUUUUCUGUCUUCAAUUUGGACCUUGUAUUUGAUCUCAUUAUACAGCCGAGAUUUUUCUGUCUUCAAUUUGGGCCUUGUAUUUGAUCUCAUUAUACAGCCGAGAUCAUUUUGAAUGGUCUGCAACAAUGACCUUUAAAUCUUCAUUAGUGUUGUCCCUUAUUUUUUCAAGAUUUUCCUUUAGCAUGGCUUCACCAUACUUAAUCCUCCUAUUUAAUUCUCUCAAAAGAACACCCUUAUCACCCUCAUCAACCUCACAUUACUUGAGCAGAUUUUCCACAGAUAGAAAUCCAAUUUGUUGUCCUGUCACCUGAAAGGCCAAGGGAAUAAAAAAAUGACAGAUAACAUUGAUUUUAAUGGAUCUAUAAACGAUCCAAAUUAGGGAUUUGUCCUAACCUGUUGGUUUUUGGAAGCUGGUUGCUUUCCUUUGUGUCGUGGCACCUGAAAGCCAAGGGAAUUAAAAAAUGACUAAUAGCAUUGAUCUAUAUGGAUUUAUAAAUGCUAAAGUAGGAAUUUGUCCUAACCUGUUGCUUUUUGGAAGCUGGCCUGGGCUGGUACUUGGCAACCUGAAAUGCCACCAAUGUAAAGACAAUAUUUUUUAAUAUUCUGUAGUAGAAGAAUGGCACUUUUUGUUGGCAACAGCAACAGCUCAGCUGCUGCCCAGGUGAGCUCUCAGCUCACUCCCAGGUGACCAGAGGUAGGAGAAAGGGGAGAGGAAGAGAGAGCACAUCACACACAUACGCUAACUCUGUGCACAAUUGCUUUUGGUGCUGCUGAACUACUGAGAGCUACUGCUGCUCUCUACUUUAUACAUAGCAAAGUCAACGUACUGCUACCUAAUAUGGCUGAGCAGCAAGGCAUGCUUUGCCCUUCUACGUACAAUACAGCAGGGCAUGCUUUGCCCUUCUACUCAUUGCCCUGCAACCCUAUAUGGCUGAGCAGUAGGCACUUGAGGAGUUCUAGCCCUAUAUGGCUUAAGAGGAAUUCAGGGAGGAGCUUAGCAAUUACUUAACACACUUACCUCUUUUCUGAUCUCAUGUAUAUCCUUAAGAUUUCCUAGCAGCUUCUCAACUUUUUUGUUACCAUAGAGUUUGAUGAGUGGUUCAACCGACGGUUGUUCUGGCCCAGGUUGCGGCUCAAGAGUUUUGAUGAAACACAUCUGUCAAGCAGCACAAUCGAUCAAAGCAUAAUUUUUAUCAAGUUCGUAAAAGAAAUUGUUUUAGAGAUCCUCACUUACCAAGAGCAAAAGCGAGCUCCCCUCGACCUUUGAUUUGGUUUUCUUCUUUUGCCAGCUAGCGAUUUUAUUUUUCAAAUCUUGACAAACAAAUUUGCACCAGUUAAAAUUUUUCAUCCAACCAAAGUCUGAGCACAUCCCCACGUGCUGCUUUAAGAUGUAAUUGCUAUGAGUGGGUAUAAGAAGCUUGGAUACCACAAUGUAUAAGAAAGCAUGGGCUUGCUCAUACUUAUUAUCUUUGACAGAUUUUAUGUACCCGCUUACAGCCUCGACAGGGAUCUCUUUAGUUUCUUUAAAUGUAGUUUUUACCUUUUUAUUAACCUUACUCAUACGCACUACCUUUAACCCUUUACUUUUCAGAACCUGCCAAAAGUCCUCCCACUUCGUGCUCAAAGCAUAACAAGUCAAACAAUCAUUAUGGACAUAAAGCUUCUACCACAAUUUGUAUACUAAUGCAGUAAUCUUCGACAAUGCCAAGGCCAACCUAUCUCUUUGGAUCGUGAGAUUCAAAGACCAAAGUCCUUCUUCAUUUAGUUCAUUUUAAGGAGGAUAGUAAAUCACUUUUCAUUCAAUGGCUAAACUCUGUAACGUAAUUUAGUAUCCCUGUCCCUCUCUCCUCCCUCCCUUCUACCUCCUUGUAAGUAUCCCGCCUAGCUCAGUUCUACUUUUAUUUAUAAAUAAAAAUUGAAGUGUUGUGGGGAACUUUCCCCACAAUUGGCCCUUCCAAAAAAAAAGUUACGGAGGCAGAUAAAUGGUUAAAAGAGAAAAGGUAGGGACUAGAAUCAUGAUGAUGAUAAGGCAUGCUGAAAAAGCCUGAAGAUGUAGCUAUUCUCUUUUCUUUCGGUUAAUCUGGAGAGGAGAAGAAGUGGGAUGAACCUAUUGGUCCCCGUCGCCGUACAAGUUGAUUACACACAGAAAGAAGCGGAGCCUUCGAUUGCUGCGACAAGCAGAACCGCAAAAAUCGCUAUUAGUAUGACCUUGAAGACGGUAGAGGGGGAGGAGGUAGAUUAGUACGUUAGAGGGGAAAGGGGUAGGACCUUAAGAGGAGGAACCUGCUUGCCGCCGCCGCCGUAGUCGAUCCGCGAGUGGAAAGAAGCGAUGCCCUAGUUUUUUUUGAACUUUGGUGUUUCUGCCCCUAUUAUGAAGUCUAAUUGUAAUUUUACCCUCGUUUUUUGAACUUUGCGAUUUUGCCCCUUCCUUUUCAAAUUGAAGGUGCCAUUUACCCUCACUUUUAACUCUGUUAGUUGGAGCUACAUUAAAAAAAUAGUGAAAAUAGAAAAACCAUUCAGAGCAACGUGAAAAGACACAAGUACCCGUAAUCUUAUCCCUAAUUUUAUCCUCUCCCACCCGUGGGUUGCCCGACCCCAUUCGAUCUCGUCUUCCUCCCAAGAAACCCUAGGACAUCCUCGUCUUCCUUCCUGGCGGCAGCGGCUGGGUGAUGAGUUUCCCAACGCUCAGCGGUUGGAUUCGUGGGCGGGCGAGUGACAUCUUCGAGCACGCGGGCAGCCCCAGCUUGUGGGGGCCUAGGGGGCAGGUGCAUGGUGGCCCCAGGCGUGGGGGUGCAUGGUGGGCCCAGACACGUGCUAGCCCCAAGGUGCGGCCCCAGGCGCACGGCCAGGCCCCGGUGCGGGCUCUGCUCGGCUCGGCGCGGGCACUGUGACAUGCAGCAAGGUAGCAAGUAGGUAGCACAGCCAAGUUAGGUAAAUUCUCCACUUCCUCUGAUCUUGACUGUCUUUAGGUGCUUAGGUUAGGAGAUUUCACCGAUUUGUAGGACGAAUUAGAUAUGGUCUUUAGGGUGAUUUAGCUAACUGUAUGGUGUGAUUUGUAGGGCGAAUCACAUGGAUAUGCAACUUGUUGUUAGAGUUCGGUCAUUUUUUAGCAUGCCAUAUGGGGGAGGGUCAAAGAUGUGGAUGCAGGGUAAAACACUUCCAACACAAUUGGUUCACCCACAUAACUAUGGGCUGUUGUGGUUAGUUAAUUUCAUAGUUGAUCACUUCAUGUGGGGUUCUAAGCAGUACAUAACAUUGUGGUGUGAGUUGGACAAUUGUUCUAUUGAGAUAAAGUCUGAUGAGCAGUUGCUUGAUUGGAUUCAAAUGAAUGUAGAGAAGGGGGUAGUGCGCAUCAAUGCCCAGAUAAAUGAUUUCAAGGGUCUAUUGCAGUUUUCACCAACCAAAUGUAGGUGUCACCCUACUUUAAGGAAUAGAGCCACAAAUGUACACCCACAACCACAACCACAAAUGAGACAGCCACAAAAGUGAGGGCCACCAAUGAGAGUGUAGGAGUUAAUAAGGAGGGCAUGUACUCUGAUACGGAUUCAUUAAAGGCACUAAGUGAUAGUUGCUAUGACACGGAUUUGGCUGCAUCAUCCGACUCUAACUUUGAUCCUGAGUUUGACCCUGAUGGUGAAAUAGUUGAUGAGGAUGAUGAGUAUGAUCCUCCCCCUUUUCUUAUGAUGUUGAUGCUCCAUGUAUUGAUGUCAAUGUGGUGUUCCCAGAUGUGGACCAAUGCAAAUCAGCCGUUACCCAUCAUGCUACCUUGAAUGAUCAUGCAUUUGAAAUUGUGAAAAAAGAUCAUAGCUGGAUAGGCUAAAGAAGAAGUACUCAAUGGAAGUUCCAUAUGAUAGAGUUGUCAGAGGCAAACCGAGAGCAUUGGACAUGAUAUAUAGGAAGUGGGCUGACAACUAUGACUUGCUACCCACCUAUCAAGCUGAGCUUCUGAAAUCUGUACCUGGAAGCAUUGUUGAGCUUGAGAUCGAAGAGCACAAUGUUGAUGUGUGUUUCAUGAGGUUCUUUGUUGCACUUACACCAUGCAUUGAUGGGUUUUUGCAAGGGUGUAGGCCAUAUAUUGCCAUAGAUGCAAUCACCUGACAGGGAGGUCCAGAGGUUAGUUGGCAUUAGCUGUUAUAGUGGAUGGUCAUAAUUGGUUAUUUCUAGUGGCUUAUGGAGUGAUUGAAAUAGAGUCUAAGGAAAGUUGAACUUGGUUUGUCAAUAACUUGAAGAGGGCUAUUAGUACUCCUACCGGGUUGGUCAUUAGUACGGAUGCAGGCAAAGGAAUAGAGGUUGCUGUUGAUGAGGUGCAACCAGGAGUGGAACAUAGAGAAUGCAUAAGACACCUGUGGAAGAACAUGAAGAAGAACAGGUUCAACGGUGAGCUAUAUGGUAAGAAUAUGUGGUCAGCCGCCAAGAGCUUCGCAACUAACAGGUUCAACUACUUCAUGGGGAAGAUAGAGGAGAAGGAUCCUAGUGCACUUGCUUGGUUGGAUGACAAUCAUCCAUAUGUGUGGAGUAGAAGCAAAUUCUUCGAAGAUUGCAAGAUAGAUUACAUUAACAACAAUCUCUCUGAAUAUUUUAACAGUUGGGUGCCAAGAACCAAAGAUUACCAAAUUGUAGACAUGCAUGAUAGGAUAAGGCAAAUGAUAGUUGAGAAAUUUGUUUUGAGAUACAAGAUUGGUAGCAAAAUGUUCGGAAUAAUCAUCCCAGAUAUUAUCAAUGCUCUAAAUGCUAAAUCCAAAAUUAUCAAAGACCAUGAAGCACUAAUAUGUGGGGCUGGGAUAGCUGAAGUAACUGUGAAUAGAUUCAAGCAUGCAGUCAACUUGGAGCAAAAGACUUGUACAUGUAAAGCUUGGCAAGUGACUGGAAAGCCUUGCAGCCAUGCUUUAGCUUUCAUAGCCAUGCUUUAGCUUUCAUUGCUAAGCUUAAUAGGAAUGUACAGAUGGAUGACUUUGUCUAUGAGUACUUCUCUGUUGAUAGGUUCAAAAUGGCUUAUGCAUGCACUUUCAAUCCAAUGACAUUCAAGGACAGCUGGCCGCGUGUUGAUUUGGGGUACAAAAUUUAGAAGACCAAGCUGAGAAGGAAACCUGGAAGGCCAAGGAAAAGUAGAAUCAGAUCAUAUGAUGAGUUUGUUCAGAAUGCCAUGAACUAUGUCAUAUAGCCAAGUAUUGCCAAGGAGGUCCCACCGCUAGUAAAAAGAGGAAACUGUCAUUUUCACAAAAUGCAUCAGGAGAGGGGAUCAAUGACCCAAGUGUUGCACAAACAUCAAUGUGAAUCAUGAUUGGUCCAAUUUUCUUUCUUAUUUUGCUUACUUAGUCAUUGCUAAUUUUUCAUUACUUACCAUCAACUUGUUCACGACACAUUUUACUCCUUGUAUAUGAAGUGCAAGUACAAGUGGGAGUGGGAUUGAAAGGGGAAGGGGAAGGGGAAGGGGACAAGGAGGAGGAGGAGGAGGAGGAACAGGGAGCUUGGUUGCAUUGUUAGGUUUAGGUUCUUAAAUGUGAAGUUUGCUACUGGACAUGUAAUAGCUCUAAACUAUUUGGUGCUUUUGUUGGACAUGUAGUGUUUCUUUUGUUGGACUUGUAUGAUGGUGUGUGUUCUGGACCUUAUGUGAUGUGGACAUGUUUAUGUGAUUUGGGACAUAUAUCUCCUGGAUAUUUGUGUGAUUUGGAUAUCUGCAUGUGGUCUGGACAUGUUUAUAAUGAUGUCAGACUUUUGUCAAAUUUGUAACAUGAUGGUGGAAACAAAUGCAAAUAUGUGUAAUUUUUAAAUCUGUCAAUUUGCUGCAAAAUAUUGUACAACUGUUGUAAAAAAUCUAUGAAAAUGCUGCCCAAAAAUCUAUUUAAAUGCUGUCAAAAAUAGGGCAAAAUCACAAUCUCCUCAGUAAAGUAGGGGCAAAUUUGCAUGGGCAAACUUGUCAUUUUGUCGUUGUUUUAACACCGUUAACAGCGCUUCAUAGAAUAGAGGCAAACACUAUUUUCAGUUUGAAGAAGCAGGGGUAAAAUCGUAGAGUUAAAAAAAUGAGGGGGGAAUUGGGUGGCAUACCGGCCCAUCUUAACCAGUUAGCAUCCGAUCCCAAACUGGGCCCUCAUCCUCCUCGCAUACCGGCUCAUCUUAACCGGUUAGCAUCCCAAAAUGAGGCAUAAGGGAUACGUGAGCUUUGUUUUGAUCAUUUGAAUUUUGAAAAGUGAAUUUAUUAAAAUAUUGCUACUCCAUCAUUUUAAAUGAGUUAUUUAGUUUUUCCUAAAUCCAACUUAUCUAAUUUUGAUGAAAUUUCUAUAUAUAUAUAUAUAUCUUUAAUAUCUUUAAUAUCACACAGGAGUGUGUAAAAAAAUAUGAGUGUAGAUUUUCUUGGACCGGUCCCACACGCCACCACUGCUCCACACUCCUCGAUAAAGUAGUGAGCUGCCGGUGCCAGCGGUGCUCUUCAUCAGCGUUAUCGUCGUUCGCCCUCUCAUUUUUUUUUUUGCAUUUUAGAUUUUUCCUAGAAAGCAUUUGCCUCUGGCGCCAUGCAGAGUUGCAAACCAACUAGAACCUGGCAGAGUGAUCAAAUUACAGGUCGCUUAGCCCCUUCUUUAUUUAUGUUUCAAUUCUCUCAAGAGCUCAAAAAAAUUCAAACUCUCCUAUUGUGUUCUAUGAUGUAUAUGUGUUCCAUUUUAAGCAUUUGGAGCCUAAUAUUAUGUUUCAGUAUUCAGUUUAUUCGUUUCUACAUUGACUAAGCGUUACUUGGGCAUGCUGACACUUAGCUGAAGCAACAAAAACAUAUGGAAGUCAUCUGACCUCUUCUUUCUUGUCGUUUUAAUUAUCUAAACUCUAAAGAGCUCCAAAACAUGCAGACUACUCCUAUAUCUUGUCUAGAACGUCGAAACAUGCAGCAUUUGAGUGAGGGAUUUCACUAAACUUGGAUUUUAAGAAAAACAUGCGUAAAGAAAACUAAUCCACUGAGAAACAGGUAGGAGUAGUCUGCACCUCUGCAUGCUUGGUUGAUGUUUCAUAAAGUGCCACUUAACUUAAUUUUCCUUCUCAUUUUAAUUAUCUAAAGACCUCCAAACUUCUUCAAACUCGGCAAAUGUGCUUUAUGAUGUAUAUACUUUCCAUUUUGAGCAUCUGGGUAGUAACAUAUGUUGUAGUAUUAAAUGUAUUUAAUUAUAGAAAUGACUAAAUUUUCUUGAUUAUAAGAUGGUCUGAAGAUUCUCAAUUUUAUCAUGCUCGCUUAGGAACACAGAUCGCUUUGAGUGAGGUGGCUAAGGGUAAAACAUGAGAAACUAGUUAACCUUUCAUUUUACGAGAGGAUCCAUUCACUUCACUUUAUUUCCAGAUGUCAGGUAGCCAAGCGCAUGUAUUGCAUUGCAACACUCGCCCCUCUCCCUCCAGUUCUUCUUCAAUUGGCCCUGUCCUGGCCACCAUUCGUCGUCCUUCGUUUCGCUAGCUUCGUCUCCAGUCGGCUGCGUGCUGUGGUAGGCUCUAGGCAAGACUCAAGAAGACAAGGAGAGGAGCAUCUUCGGCGGCGCGGCGGCACCGCAGCAACAUCAGCUGAUCUCCUCAUACGCAAAGUCACUUUCAGUAUUGAUUAAUUGAAUAAACUGAAUAUUACAAUAUAUAUUAGUGUCCAAAUGCUCAAAAUGGAACAUAUACACAUCGUACGACACAUAUGGUGAGUUUGAAGAAUUUUGGAGGCCCGUAGCUAAAUAAAACAGGAAGGAAAAAUAUGCUAAGUGACAUGAAUUUAUGAUCAACUAACAACUUUUUGUACUCAGCUGGCCACGUAUUCUCCAGCGUGGAAAAUCACGGCGCCAAAUGAUAUGGUGUGGUGCCAUCUACCAAUGGCGCCGUGUACAAGAUCCAUUUCUGAGAUUCUUUCUCCAAGAGGUUCAAAUGUAAUUUUUUUUUGAAAAAGGACUAAAAUACAAAAAUAUACCCCUCUCAGCGUGUCUAUUCUCGGCGGCGUUGCUUGCAACUUUUACUACAGCUCCCUCACCGCCGCUCCACGGUAAAAGUCAUGAGCUGUCGGACGGGUACCAUGCUCAUUUGUUGCUUGAACGCAGGGGAAUCGUUCUUUUUUUUUCUUGAACGAACGGAAGGGGAAUCGUUCUCGCACGCUAGCUCUAGGCUCUACCAAACGCUCCCUAUCUCAUCCAUGAGGGUGAUGCUCUUCAUCGGUGUUAUUUAUUGCCCGCGUGUGGAGUCGUCCUACCGCGACAAGUCCCCGCUGUUGCGACACCCUCGUCGCCGACGGCAGCCUCUGAACGACUCCGCGCCGUCCGUGGUGGGAGGCGUGGCUCCACAUGUGGCUCUGGAUGCGGCGGCAUGCGCGUUGCCUGCAUUGCUACGUAGUACGCGUCCCGUGUCACCCAUUGUCCACCGGAUAUGAAUUGAAGCCAUCCAACAUCCCAAGCAUGCAGUUGAGUGCUGAGGGGCACCAAACGAGGCAACGAUUGCCUACUCUCAGGCUCCGGCUGCGACAUGCACCGCUCUGCGCCGGGCGCUCAAUAAGAUGCUCUACUCAAGGUCUGCCGCCGCCAAGCAGGCGAGCACACCGUACCGCGCAGACCCUGUCUACGCCAACUUCAAGCAUCAGGAUCAUGCCGAGUUCGAUGGGCUGUCAUCUGCAUGGAGCUGUGGCCGGGGUGAUGACCUCCAUGGAUGCCGAUGUGGGUUUUGUAUAGAGGCUCCAAUCGAAGUUGGCAUGGCAAAUUGGGACAGUAGCGGGAAACCAGAUUGCUAGUAAGCCUUUUUUCUGAAAGCAACUCCAGCGCCCCUACUUUCCCCUCCAGAGCGGUAGAGCAACUUCUCCAACGGUCACGACUCACGAGAAUGCCGCUGCUUCCAUGCCGCGCCGGUGGCUAUCCUCGCAUCCCCAGCCCCGUGCAAAGCCGAGCCGCCACUCGCCGGCUCGCCGCCCCUUCUUCGCCGCUAGGCCGCCAUUCAUCUCCCGCGUAGCCCCUUCCCCGGUCAAAUCAUGCCGUGCCCGUCAACGCAGCUGUUUUCACAAAGUCAAAUCAGGGGUAUUUGUAUCUUUAGUCCUAACUAAAAUUCAUGUCACAUCGAAUAUUCGGAGACUAAUUAGGAGGAUUAAACAUGAGUUAAUUAUAAAAUUAAUUACAUAUAUGGAGGCUAAUUCACGAGACGAAUCUAUUAAGCCUAAUUAAUCCAUCAUCAGCACAUGUUUACUGUAGCAUCACAUUGUCAAAUCAUGGACUAAUUAGACUUAAUAGAUUCGUCUCGCAAAUUAGCCUCCAUUUGUGCAAUUGGUUUUGUAAUUAAUCUAUAUUUAAUACUCUUAAUUAGCAUCUAAACAUUCGAUGUGACAGGAUUUUAGAACUCCUAAAGAACCAAAUACCCCUCAAUCUGAUAACAAAGAUUGAAUAAAUUUGAGGUCUGUCCUAGUAGAACCUAAAACACCUCACUUCAUUUUGGCUCCGGUGUUGGCGCGGCGCUGCCAGUCUUCCACUGCAAUGCUGUUUGUCUCUUGCCUUCAUAAUUUCAUAUGCGUAUUUCCUGUGAAACUGUGCUGACAGUUGCAGAGAAAUCACUAUGGAAGAUACAUGCAUUAACCUGCGAUGUGGAGUGGCUCCGUUUUGUUUUUUUCACCGGGCAUGAUAUUGGAGGCUAUGGAAGAUACAUGCAUUAACAUGCAUUGGUUUUUGGGUGCUCUGAUAUUGGAGGCCCAGCAAGCUAGGAGCACAGGAUGGACGGAAAGGUUUAGGGGUGGAGACAACUUCAAAUCCCUAAUUCUGCCAAAAAUUAAGGUAUCGGGGAUUUUUCUGCCUUAAAAAAAGUUUAUUCCUUCACCUGGUCCGACGGACGCGGGGCCAGCAGACAUGACGAUGAUGAUCACGGGGAUCGGCCUAAUGAAGCCCGCAAAUGACUGGGCUGCACGAAGCCCAUAUGCAGCCCAAAUACUGACGAGAGCGUUCGGAUCGCACUGCUCGCGGAAAUCCUAUCCAUAUUGCGGAAGAAACGUUCAACCUUUGAGAUUUGUGCGAGGAAAUAAGGUCCGUUAGAUGCAUUAGAUCCAAACCCUAACUCCCACACCUCUCCGGGAGGAUCGCCCUCCCAAUUCGAAGUUUUUUCCCCUGCCUGCGCCGUCGAGACCCCACCUGCACUGCCUCUCCUCCCUCCCCUACCUACACCGCCGCCCACCCCUCCCUCCCCUGCCGCCAGCACCAGCGCCACUGCGCACGGCACGGGCUCCGUGCGGGCUCGCCGGCUGGAGCCGGAGAAGAAGCUGAAAAAAUGUUGGAUCAGUUUUUUUUGAAAAAUGUUGGUGCAACUUUUUCGAAGAAAUGUUGAUCCAACUUUUUUUGAAAAAUGUUGGUCCAAUUUUUUUUAAAUGUUGAUAAUAUUUUCAAAAUGUUGAUAAUAUUUUUCAGUUAAAUAAACUUUUGAUUGCAGCAUACUAUAAUGAGUUUGCUGACUCGCUGAAUUUUACAGUUUCGUCCCCAUCUGCCGGUAGAGAAGCCCCCACCGCUCGCGGACGAGCAAUCUUCCCACAAUCUCCCUGACCCGCGGCGCCGUGCGUCGCGCCGUCACCGCUUCUGCGGCCAACGCUUCUGCCUCGUCGGCAACAACCAACAAUCCGCCGCCGAGCGAAGCAAGUAAAGCAACCGAGCCGAGUCGAUGGUGGCGGCGGCGCUAUCCGCGCUCCCGCGCGCCGCUUCCCGCCUUGCGCCGUGUGUCCGCCAGCCUGAUUUCCGCGCCCUCUGCGCCGCUGCUGCGGCCGGCGAGGCCUCGAAGCGGAGGCUAGUACUGUACACCAAGCCGGGGUGCUGCCUCUGUGACGGGCUCAAGGAGAAGCUUCACGCCGCCUCCCUGCUCGCCGGCACGCCCUACUCCCUCGCGUCCCUCGAGCUCCAGGCAAGACAAUUUUCUGGUCCUACUGCUAUGCAAUAACUAGUUCCUUCCCCGAUUUCUAUCUAUGCAUUAAUUAGUUCGUUCCGAGAUGGAUAUUUGCUUGACUUGGAUUUCGGAUGCCAACUAGGAGAGGGACAUCACGAUGAAUCCGGAGUGGGAGCGGCUGUACCAGUACGAGAUCCCAGUGCUGGCUAAGGUGCUCCACGACGGGACCGAGGUAUCAUUGCAUUCCUCUCUGAUUCAACUUUACUCGCCUCUAUUCCCUUUGAGUUUCAACCUUGCCCUCCUUAUGUACCAACUAUGAAGCUUUUCAAGCAUGUUUCGGUAUUGUGCUUUGUUUCGUGGAGCACCUCCCUAAGCCUUUCGUCGUUGUUGCAGGAAAUACUUCCCAGAUUAUCACCCCGUCUAAGUGUGGAGCUCGUACAGAAGAAAAUUUAUUCUGCCUUCGAUCAGUAAGGAGGCAUUUUUGGUGAAAAGAAUCUGAGUUUAUUUUAUGAAUCAAUAGCUCCAGCUGUAAGAUUAUCAGUUGAUACCAUCAUGUGUGAUGUAAACUUUCUUGAUUGCGAUACAUGAUUUUCAUUUUCCUUGACUUGCGCUCUGUAAGGAUUUCUUUUGGGUUUGUGCAUCAUCGCAUUGCUUUGAGAAAAGAAUUCAUAUAUGGUGACAUCCAAAUACUUAUGUUGGGUCUUCAGAAAUAUACACCAUGAAUCAUGAUACUUUUAAGAAAAAGAAAUAUGCAUCAUGAUGGUCAACGAUGUCACAAGGAAAUACAGAUUAUUGAACUGACCACCACAUGGAAUCAUAAAGGAGUGAAAUGUACACAGACAGAAGUAGAAGGGCAUAAAACCAGAAGUACAGAGAAAUUUUUCAGUGCUGAAACAAGAUUCAUUAGUAAACCAACAUGGAUGAGUAUCGUCUUCAUGCGAUGCUUGGGGCAAUGGGUAAGUUAUUUUAACUGACAGAUGGGCAAGCAAUUUAAUCACUGUUGCCCCUCUAUCAUUCUUGGAGGUUGGGAGUUAUCCAGCUUUCUGGUAAAUAACUUCCCAUUUUCUAUUUACACUUGACCGAGAUUUUUUACAAUGUUAGCCUAGGCACAACUACUUCAUACCCACCUUGGUGUUACAAGAAAAUUGCAUCCGAAGGAUCAUACUGUAGUAUAAACUGCAUGGACACGCCAGAUCUUUGAAAUUUACUUGACUGCUGAAGUACCUAAAGACCAUUCAGUGCAGAAACAGUAUUCAGAGUUUCAGACAAGCAACCAAAAUGCAUAUAUCCAUAGUCCUGUAUCCAUGUAGUUCAGUGCACUCUAAUUUGAGUCAGUUUGAAGCUUAGUAGUUGCAAUGAUGUUAAGAUAUGCUAUGAUUUUUUCAUUAACAAGAUGCAAAUCAAUAUUGUAAAAAAAUUGAAUAAAUUUGAGGGCUGUCUUUAUAAAACCUAAAAUAACUUACUUCAUUUUGAUUCCGUUACUGGUGCAAUGAAUGUCGGUGCUACCAGUGCAAUGCUGUUUUUCUUGCCUUCAGAUGCGUAUUUCCUGUGAAGCCAUGUUGACAGUUGCGGAGAUACACGCAUUAACCUGCGAUGUGGAGUGGCUUCAUUUUGUUUUUUCACCAAAGCAGGGCAUGAAAAUCCCCGGUAUGCAUUGGUUUUUGGUCGCUCUGAUAUUGGAGGCCAGGAAGGGAAUGGUGUUGGCAUUGGAGGCAAGCUAGGAGCACAGGAUGGAAUGAAAGCUUCUAGGAGUGGGGACAACUUCAAAUCCCUAAUUCUGCCAAAAAUUAAGGUAUUGAGGCCAAGGUUCCUUGAACUCCAUUCUGUGAUGAUUUGGGCUAGCUGUUUGAGCCUAUAAGGUUGUAGAAAAUUGCUGCGAUCUAUUGGGGCAAUGGAAACUUGGACCGUAACUGGUGCUGCAACCGUUGAACCAUUUGUAUUUGUUAACUUGACAAAUAAUUCCUGCAUUUCCAAUUUUGUAUAAAUAUUCUGACCUCAUGUCAAGAUCUUUAAAGAAAAAAAAUAUUCAAGGUACAUGUUAUUUAAGUGUACGAGAGGGAUAGACUGGGAUGACCUCAUCUGGUGUCUGCUGCAAUCUUAUUGCAAGCUCAUUCUUCAUCUCCUUAAGAAAUUCCCUUACUUCAUGAAUUGUCGAGUCAAAUGUGAUGUUGAAGAUAGGCUGAAUUGAGUCUGCAUGGGAAGCAUUAUGUGGAAGCAACACUGUAAUCCCUCCUGGGAAUCCCAGGAUCUCUAAGCAAAGUGGGUCUCCGAAAACAGAUGGUGUCAAAGAUAAAUUCAGCUGCUGAAGUGUAAGUCUUAUCAAAGAUGUUCUCAGUGUGUUGAUGGAUUUUACGCUCAUGGAGGCAUUUCUUGGGUCUGGAAGAACACCGAAUUUCACAUAAGUGGUGUUCGUGUAAUUGUAUGGACGCAUAGAAACUGAAACCUGCAGGAUUGUCAGCCAAUAUUCAGUGAGUACUUGGCAAAGUUUUCUUGUACUGAAAGAAACUCCAUACCUUACUAUUGGGCACUCCUAUUUGGUCAUAUAUCUCUUUUUCGAGUGUUCCGCCUUGUGAAGCUAUCUGUGAGUGUGGCACUAACAAAAUGAAGCCUGCCUCGAUUUCUGCUUGAGAAACGAAUGUAACUGUGUUAAAACAAGGUAGACGAGUGGGGAAAAUCUGGACGAACUCCUAACGUUAUCUGUUCUGCUAUACACUAGUAAUGUUUUCAUAUUCUACUUUAUUGAAUAUUUUGCCUCCUUUGUUUCAUUUUGAGGGAAACUGUGACCAUGAAGCUUUUGUCCCUGCUUUUGAGUUAGUUGUUCAGCACGCGUGAAGUCCUGGACUUACCGGCGAGUAUGUCAGGGUCAUCAGGGACGCCGCCUCCUGAUGCCCGGAGAUGAAGCAUCAUGAAGGCGGCGGAGAGGAAGCCGCCGACGGCCAGGAGCAGCACGGAGGCGCACUUUGCGCUGACCACCUUGCCGACGACUGCACCACACCGGCAGCGGCUGAACCUGGUCGCCGGCGCACCGUUGGGGAAGGCCUGCUCAGCGCGACCGGCCUUGCCCAUGGUGAGCGCAUCUGGCACUAGUUUCUCUCUCGGCUCGUCAGUGUGGAGAGGUCAUCAAAGCUGGAGGCGGCGGCUGCGUUGCGUUGGGGGAGAAAGCUGGAUGGAGAGCUGGCGCUGGUGCUCGCCGUUGCCGCAACGGCGACGCGAAUGGGGAUGGAUUUGGGUGUGUUUAGGAGCGGUAGAUGGGAAUGUUCGCAACGAUACGACAUAGGCCGGCUGUCAAUGGUUGUUGGUUUAGUUUUGAACGGAGGAAAAGGCUUUGUAGCUCCGGUUGUUUUGACUUUUAUCAGAAGGCCUUCUGUAUUAUUUCGCGUUCAUCUCAAUUUCGAUCUUCGCAUCGCAUCCACGAUGGUCAAUUCAGUUGUGGUGAAGUGAUGUCACAAAAGCAAGGUCAGUGCGAGCGUGCAUCACACUUGCGAUGAGCAAAACAAAACAAAAACUAGAUGUCCCGUUGAUGCUUACAAUGCUCCUGAUAACAUUUCUUUACACCAGUGCUCGGCAGAUCACGGGGCUGUACAAUUUCCCAAGAGGCACUAAGAAAUGUGCCCCUUCGCUAGUUCACACCUGCGCUUUGUACUCGUAGAACCUACUUCGCCAUCUCAUAGGCAGCCUAUUACAAAGAUUGCGAUUCGUUUCUGCCGUCAUUUCCAAGAGCUAGCAUCGGUAAUAACAAUGGUAAGGCAACAAGAACCCAUGUAGCCACAAUUUUUGCAGCUGAUAUGGGUUCACUUUUCUGAUUCUACAACAUGCCAGGAUGGAAUAUCCUGGCCAUAUCCAUGUGCUGAAGCCUGAAGGUAUGCAGACCUUCCCAGAAACAUAGAUAUUCCAUUCAAUCGUAGUUAAAUUACAUACAGUACAACUUGCUCAUCAGUCAUCACUGGUGUGAAACGUUCUAAACAAGACAAAAUUGUCCCAUCCAAGGUGAACAACAUUUUACAUUUGAGCCACAGUGCAACAUCAAAUGAGUAAAAUCUAGAUGAGCUUCUUCUUUCUGAAGAACCCUUGAAGAUGCCACAAUUGCAAGAUUGAUACCGCAAUGCAGACACCUAGCGACAGAAUACUGAACCAGGCAACCCUUGCGUUUGUUUUCUCGCUCACAAUUCGCAUCUCUGCUUCCCUGCAUGUACAGAUGAAAGCAAUCAUCAGCCAUGCCACUAAUCCUGUAGGGCAAGAAAUCUAUGGACUUCAUAUCUCAGACAUCAUCACACAUAUUCAUUUGUCAUAGAAAGAACAUUGAAGGUAGUGAAUUCAUUAGCAAAAGAUCUUCUAAACAAAAGUAAAACAAAUCCUCUGCUGUAUGACAGAUUGGAAGUUGAAAUCCAUAGAACUGAUAUAUCCAACCCCCUUUCGGUGCCAAUAUGCUAAAUUUUAUUUUUGAAGCAGAAGACUCGAUUGGCAGAAGACAUAUAGCUAAAAAAAUGUUUCCACAGAAGGUGGACGAGAUGACUUGCCUUGUUUUGAGGUAUAUCAAGUUCUGAUGAAUGGCCUGGACUGCCACUUCAAGUUUCUGAAGCUCGAGUUCUACACCCUGCAGAAAAAAAAGAGGUCGCAUUCAAUUGACAACACCAAAUAGUGCAUUGAAUAUGAGUUCAUGACAAUUGGAUAGAACUGUGGCUUGGUACUACAGUUCAUAUUCCAACCUCAAUUUUUUCUUUCUUAGCAAUAGCAUCCCAGUCCUUUGUUGCAAACCCAAUCUUCCAGUCAAGAUUCACAGAUACUCCUGAUCCUUUCUCUGCACUAUCUAUCCAGAAGCAUGCAAGGUAGUUUCCAGCUUCUGCAGUUGUGAAUGCAAAUUGACCAACUGUAGCAUUCUCAUUGUGAUGUAAGGUGUUCCCGUAUGGUGAAGUAACCUGCAAAAAGCAUCAGAUUUAUAUAAAAAUGACAGUAAGAGUUUACAGUAUGCUGGUAAUUCAUACAUCAGAUUUUCAACUCCAGACAAGUCUCAAUACUGUCAACAACAGAAGAAUCAAAAACUCAAUCAGAAUGAACUAACGUUUCUCAACUGCUUACUGAGACCUUUCUGAACUUGAAAUUUUGACCCUGAAAUAUAUUUAUAGUUGAAAUCAUGCCAUUCAAAAAACCUCAAAAUGACUAUAUGCACUCUCAACAUAACAGAACAUAUGCUCAGUACCUAGAUGUUGCAUCAGGGAUGUUCGGUGCACAUUAAAUCUGAGGUAAAAAACAAAGACGAUUCUUUACCAUGUAUGAUGGGGGUGAUGCAGACAAGAUAAAUCUUAGUAACUGCUAAUUUACAACAUCUGAAAGUCAGUUAAGCUAUCCUAUCAUGCCUGUUACCUUAGCUUUCCUCAGACAAAGGCACAAAGCCUAGAACAGUAGACAUAAAUGGAGUUUUGAAUAUAAAAAAAUAUUUAAAAAGCUGAGCACAGCUCUCUCUGCUCACUUCAGUGCUCUAACUUACUCGAUUUGUCCCCUUUUUGCCAUUCCUUCUUAUUCCAUAGCACUAGUACGAUUCUUAUCGAUUACAGUUUUACUGUCUACUUCUUAACCUCAUGGAAUUUUUACGUAGUUCGCUGGAAAAGAAAUCACCAGAUCCCCUAAAAUGAAUCACCUAGUAUUCUGUCCUGACUCAUGAAUGACAUCCUAGGUGGAAAGCACCAUUACUUAGACAGAAGGAACCAGCAUGGUUUGAGAAUCAACGCUGCAUCAUCAACAUGAAUCGUGCAAUUGAAUCUAGUUAAAGCAGCAGGCCUACGGCCACUGAUUUAUGACUAAUGCUCUGGUGUAGACAAAUCACACAAGCGAAACAAGUUUGGAUACAGACAUAGAGUGCUAAAAGUAGUAGAUGCCAACAGAUUCCUUGCUUUUCAGCCGGGAAACAUGUUACAUGACAUGAAGAAUUUACUCAUACACUCUAAGGCACGGUUUCUGGCUAUCUGCAGCACAAAUUCAGGCAGUUCAAUUCCCGAUAAAUUCAUGGUAUCCGGCAACUACAGGCCCAAGCAAAUUCAAAUGUUUAAACACUGCUCAGCUCCAUUUAAUGCAUAAAAUCAUCAUAGAAUGAAACUCUACCAUUCCAGACUAAUCGGCAUCGACAUCAAGGCUCGCUACACUGAAUCAGGGAAAGGAGAAGAACAUAAUCGCGGGAAGAGAACGGAUUACCUUGACGGCUAUGGUGGGGUGAGAGUCGGGGUGGGACUCGUACAUGAUGGAGUAGUCGGCGAGCACGACGACGUUGGACUGGAUCUCCUCCGACACGCACUUGGUCCCCGACUGCGGCACCUCCAGCCACACCGCCUCCGCGCGGAGCGACGCGACGGCAAGCACCACCGCGAGGGCCAGAGCCGCCGCCAUCUCGGCCGCCGGCCUAGGGAUCUCCGCCUCCCGGGGUCGGGUCGGGGAGGAAGGGAAGGGAGAGCCUGUCAGCUGGAGACUAGUAGUAGUGGCGUCGGCAGAUGAGACGACGACGGCUGAAGAAGUCGGGGAGCAGUUUUGAAGGAGAGGGGCGCACGUGACGUGGUCACGUGAUGCCGUCUUCACGCGAUGGAUGUAUGACAAGUGGGACCCGUUAUGACGUGUCUGUGCUUGUUGUUUGCAGUCUGAAGACAAAAAAAAAAAAUCUCGAAACUCCUUCUGUGUCACAGACAGGACAGAGCAAUUCGAAGCAGAUCUAAACUGAAUCCUUCACAGGUGAUCAGGCCAGAAUGGGGCAAUAUUUUCUUUUUUCUUUUUUUAAAAAAAUAUUCUCUAGGAAACUCUUCAGGAGCGAUCCUUUUGAUCCGGAAAGAUGCAAAAUAUUGCGCAUACGAACAAAUGAUAAAUUUAAGAUGAAUUUGAUGUAUGGUUAAUAAUAAAGAUGAAUUUUGAUGGCGAAUGCUCCAGUGAUCAGGAGGAUUGAUUCUGGCUGUCACUUUCUGAUUGGCUGAUCGCCGUAUGGAAUUUGCUUUUCAGCCAUAGAAUGGAGUGUGGAAGUGGAACCAUCUCAUUUUCGCCGAUGUCGUCACGUAAGGCCCCAAAAGAAGACACUCGCCAAUUCAAAAAAAAAAACUGUUUCUUGCUUUUGUAGUCAGAUUUCACAAAGCGUAGUGUUUCUGAAAUUUGGAUUACAGCAGUCACGUUUCUCAGGCCAUUCUCUGGGCAGGAAGACUAAUGGUGAAGGACGCUCGAGACACCUGCCGCACAGGUGAUUGCUUCCACUGGGAGGUUAUCGGCAACGGCGCCUGACCUCGCCUCCAGCGUUAUCUCCAAGCAGAGGGAGGCAGCAGUGCACCAUGUCGAUUGUCGAAGGCGCAGACCGGCCAGGAGAGAAGCCCCCUGUUGGCCAUGACCCCGAGCAUGGCCGGCCGGAGCAUGCACCGUCCUUGGGCGAGACGGAUCAAACAAACGCGGCGAGCCUCCGGUGAUCGCCGGAGCGCCAAUGGCGGUGGUGACUGGCGAGGCCGGAGAAGCAGCGCGACGGAAUGGCGCGAGGGCGGGGAAGCGCUCGGAACGCGUUUGCAUUGGGGUUCCCUUCUUUAAUCUCGUCCGCUAGAAAUGUAUCGGGUGGCUUUGCGUACCCCAGGGGUGGACGGUAAAUGAAAUACCGUCCACCCCUGAGAUACAGUCCGCCCCGGAUCGCCGCGGCGAGCUGGGAGGCAGCGAGGGAACACAGCAUGAGGACCCGGGAGCCUUGGAACUCUGUAGGCUGGCCGAGCUGCCAUGGGCGCUCGCGCCGCGGGAGCAGGAUCGCUCGCGGUAGGCCAAGCGCGCCGCGGGUGGCCGAGUAGCGCUAGUGCGGGCCGGCUUGGCGGCGAUGGCGCUGCGACCGCCAUGUCCGUGUCUGCGACUGGAUAGAACGAAAGAUGAUCAAUUGACAUUGUCCGAGCUGGUUUUUUUUCCCGGCAACAAAGUGACAGCAAGCAGAGUUUCAGGCAAUCGAGGCCCUGAUCUGUUUUUCCCCUAAAAAGAUUGUGCAUCUGUAUAAGUAGCAAAAAGCUGAUUGCCUGAUCUUAUGAUAAUGUGUUGUGAAGUCCAGGCACGAGAAACCUGGAAAAAGGAAGAAAAGAAUUGCAGCUAGUCUGAUACAACAUGGCGCAGAAGUUCAGAGCAAGAUGAAACCAUUGAACUUGGCACAACGCUAGGUUGCUAGCGCAAGCGAAACGGAGUGAGAUAAUUGCCAGUUUUGCCACGGCCGUCUCCCCUCUGGGCUCUGGCCACUUAUGUUCAUGCGAUUCAGCGUUCGCAAUUGCAAUGCAUACUUGCACGUUGCAUCUGUAUUAACUGAUGAGCAUUGGAAUGGAUGGAAACAAACGUGCAAAUGACUUGCUCCAAACUGAAAUAAUUUUCACGAACUGCAAGGCAGCAGAAAACGUAACAGUAAGCAGAGCUGUAAGAGUUCCACUGCCCAAUUAGACGCUGUUCGGGGUGUGAAGAUAACAGGCCUGAACAUUUCUUUCAGUAAAUGCAGAAAAGAACUCUAAGAUUGUUCACAUGUCCUGAUGUCCAGCCUUGCACUUCAUUAACCAAAUCUCAGUGACACAACUAGCUCAGUUAAUUAUCGAUACUGCAGAUCGUGAUACAAUUAUACAAAUAUCAACACUUCGCAUCUAAUUUUAUGGUCCAAUUAGGUGAACUGGUGAAGUGGAGCGCAGCAGUCGGUGGCUUCAGUUUUUGUCAGAUAUCCAUCAUCAUGCGGUCAUGCAUGCCUACCCGGCUGCCAAUGGCCGGGGUUUCUAGUCGACGCUUGACGGCGCCAUCAGUCUCUCUGACCACCUCUUGGCCUCCUCACCGUCAAGGCGUCAACAUCUCCUGCCUGCGCGCACGGAAGCAUCAUGUCAGGCAGUAAGCUGGGCACCAUGUCUUGAAGGCGUGGAUCUCAACCAAGGAUUUAAGCUGCCUGGUCGCCAUGAUCCAUGUUCGGCAUACCCGCACGCUCGAUGGCGCGCAAGCAGUUGAGGAUGAUAAGGAUUCUUGACAAAUCUAAGAAACUCCUGCACCGGUUCGCAAGACCCGAGAGCUCACCGGAGGCCGGCGAAGAGCGCGGCGGGACGACGAGAGGGCGCAGAAGCUCUCAGUUCUUGCGGAGCGAAUACGAGCGCAGCCACCGCCAUACGCGGGCGUCGCAUCGCCAAGCUGCAUGCUUAGCCGCCACCUGUGGGGCUAGCUGAGGUCGGCGGCAGCGGGGCGAACUCGUGCCAUGUCGCCGGCAGGAAUAUUUACAAUAGCACCCUCAGUAUCUUACAAAUACCCCCCCUGGUGUGGAUCGCGAUUAAUAGUCGCGAUCCGAUUGUAUGCAAAUAUACCCCUAAUAAUUUUUUACAUAUGCCCCACUAAUUUGGAUCGCGAUCCGAUUAUAUGCAAAUAGCUCCCUAAUCUGAAUAUUUGUUUUGCAAAGACCCCCCGGUUCGGCCGUCGGUCUCCCUCAUCCUCCUGCCCUGCGCAGUCGACCGCCGCUGCCUUCCGUCCCUGCCAGAAGCCCUACCCAUAGGCAGCUGUUCUGCUCUGCCAACCGCGCCCCCUCCUAUGUAUGGCUGGAGAAGAAGACGACGUGAGAAGGAAGAAGAAAGCAUCCGCAGUCCGCACCGCGAGCAAUUGGGCCUUGGGCCCUUACACGCAUCGUGCUCUACCUGGGCCUUCCUUUUGGGCCUCCGAUGCCUUGCUUUUGCCUGUCAGUCAAGUCUGCCUACUCGCACUUGACUAUUCAAUGAUAGGGACAGAUGGGUUUGGAAGAGAAGUCGCUUGUUCCGUUGUUCCUCUUCAGUCCUCUCUCUGCACAUUCCAUUCUCCCGGCCAUCGUCAGGCAGAAUACAGAACAGCGCCGACUGUCCUGUCCAUGCAUGAGCCACAAAGUCCCCAGAUGAUAAGAGUGUCAGCAGAUACGCAUCUCCUCUCGCAUUUUUAAACCAAAUCUUCGACACUGUUAUCCUGCACUACUAACCAUAGAAAAUUAAAGCAGAGGAUGGCAGGAAUCAACGUGUGACAUCCUCAAAAGCGGGCACCCAUUUGGGUUUCCUUGUCGAUUUCAGGGCGUCAAUUAACAAGCAAAAGCUUGCAAUUAGUGGGUGCACCAAGGGAGAAUGCAGAUCAAAUCAAAGGUGAGCAGGCAUAGCAAAUGCGAAGCUGAUCGAUCAUCGCCUCGGACGAUCGCAUUAAGCAGAUUAAAGGGAGGGCAUUAAUAGGCACUGAUGGAGUUAAUUAAUUCCAGCUCUACGUAAGCAGAAGAGCUGAUCUUUUUUUGCUGAUUGAUUAAGCAACCCGGUGCCUUAUCCAUUACAUCAGGUAAGGGGUCCUUCUCUCUGUCUCUCUUGCUUGCACUCUCUCUCUCUCUCUCUCACAAGAAUUUCAGGAGGAAGUAAACAGAACGGGAUUAAGAAGGAAAAAAUCGCACCAGUUUUGUAUGCUCCAACUCGAUCGAUCUAUGGACCGACUGGACGACAGCCAUGACACGUGUCUAGCUAGAACACUGACUGCCAACGAUGUGGAGCCCGCUGAUGCUGCUUCUUUAAGAGUAGGUAGGAGGACAAGGACUAGUAGUGGCCGUUGGUCGCCGGCGUCUCGACGUCGAAGACGAGGCCGCGGGUGUUGCCGAGCUCGUGCUUGCCGUUGCCGUUGGUCUGCGCCAAGGUGAUGGGGAGCUCGCCGCCGGCCGCGGCGGCGCCCUUGGAGACGUCGGCGACCUGAUUCUCGUGGUCCUUGCUCUUGCCCCAGAUGAGCGCGUACAGGCCUAGCACGAUGAUCACCGCGCCGAUCACACUGGAACAGCAAAAGAAGGGUUGCGUGACGAUGGCAUUAGCACUAGUACUAUAUACAUGUAUAUCUUCAGAAAUAUCUGGAUAUGAUGUAAAGCAUAUAGAAUCGUAUACGUGGACUGCACGUCAAUUUUGUACCUUCCAAGUGUGAUCUCUUCCUUGAGUAUGAUGGAACCCAUCACGGAGGUUACGAUCAUGCACAGAGGGCUGAAGGCUGUCACGAACACCGGGCCUCGUUGCCUCGACACGACACCUUGCACGUAGUAGGCCACGCCGGAGCACACUACGCCCUGGAAUCAUCAGAAUCCAUGGGCCAUGGCUGCUGUCAGCGGACACGUAGUUCGUUGGAUGUAAGAACGCAUGCAAGGAGGCGGCCGGCUAGCUUACGGCGUAGACGGCGGUGAAGAGGCGGGUGUCGAAGCCGAUGACCCAGGCCUGGGUGUUGCGGCGCUCGGCGACGAGCGCGACGGCGCCGCUCAUCAGGGAGCCCAUGAGGCAGAUGAGCGCCGUCAGCGACAGCUCCGCGGGGUAGCUCUGCAGCGUGUUGGACUGGAGGACGAAGAAGCCCGACCACGCGACGCAGGCGACGAUGACGCACAGGGUGCCCUGGAGGAAGCCACCGCCGCCGACCUGGGCGCCGCCGCCGUCGUGGUGCUGCCCCUUGGUCCACGGGAACGGCACCACGGGGCCGUGGUACAGGAUCAUGAGCACCGCGCCGACGACGGUGAGCGCCGUGCCGGCAAUCUUGGCCUUGCUGUGCAAGCUCCGCAGCCGCACCUUCUCUAUCCGCAGGAAGAGGGCCAUGACAAAUGUGAUGGCCGGGAGGACGUUCACCAGCGCCGACGCGAAGCCGGCGGAGGUCAGGUUCGCCCCCAUGUAGUACAGGUUCUGAUCGAGCACAGGCCUGCAAGUUCACAUGUACGUGAGAUCUCCAUCGAGCUCUGUAUAGUGUGUUGUCAUACGAGUAUAUAUGAUGAUUUGUACGUACUCGAGUAUGGCGAGCCCCAUGAUCUUGAGGAAGAUGGUAAAGGUCAUCUUUGGCCUCACGCUCCUGCACCAAUGGAGAUCACAAUUAAGCAAAGAGCUAGUUGUGUGUGGAUUUAUCAUGGUGCAGAGUAAGAUGCAAAUAGUAAAAUAAACAGAGCAUGAUGCAUCCAGUCAAUCCCAAAGACAAAACUACUGCUUCAUUUUUUUUUAAAAAAAAAGACAAAACUACUGCAUGGUCAACUGUCCAGUCAUGCAGGUCAUGCACCAUCAUAUCACCCUGAUGGUGAUGGACUAUUGUCUACUGACAUUUUUGGACAUGGUGGUUCUACUUCUACAGCGUGUGUGAUUUAGGUCACCAGAACAAAUAUUUACAGUGUGUGUAUUCUGAUUUAACAACACAUUAUGACAACGAAAGCCGCGAAAGAAUAUACUUUUUGUUCAGGAUGCGGGUACGGAAUAGAAUAGGCGUGCUACUUUCGCCGACUAGGAUCUGCAAGCGCUGGUCGUGGACCAUGCACCAUCUGAAAGCGACCACUGAAGUGCUACGUCGGCUAAGCCUUUGCAGUUGCAGACAAAAUGGAUGAACUAACUACUCUUAGAUCCGAUGCGUGACUAACAAGUUUGACACCUCCUAUGUGAUGGAUGAACAUCAGAACACAUGAACGCAAGUAGUGCAUAUGCCACAACAACUCUUUUCUCCUGAUGUAUGCACUUGCAUGACAUGCAUGCGUUGGCAGCAUACGAAGUGUUGAAGCUAGCAGACAACGAUGGAGACGAGAUCGAAUCCAUCGUGUCCACAGAGAGUGCGAGAGAGAGACGCCUAGAGGGAACUGAAUGGUGGUGGUGGAGCGACCGACAUGAUGAAUUGAUGAUUACCUCUCGAACCAGAGCGCGAAGGGCGCCAUGACGGCGGUGGCGACGACGUUCCGGUACACGACGAGGACGAAGUGGCUCAUCCCGCGCUUGAGGGAGGCGACGGCGACGACGUACAUCCCGGCGAACCCUACCUGCAGCAGGAUCAUGGCCAGGUACGGCUUCACAUCGUUCAGAACCUUUCCCACACCCAUUCUGCCCCCGCCCGAUCAAAUCAAACAGUAAUCUCUCUCUGCUCUCUCUCUCUCUCUCUCUCUCUCUCUCUCUCUCUCUCUCUCUCUCUCUCUCUCUCUCUCUCUCUCUCUCUCUCAGAACUCCAAGCCUUCUUCCUCUCACUCGCACUUGCUGCUUCUAGCUGUGGCUACUACCUCGAGCUCCUCUCAAGACAAGCAAGCUAUGGCAGUGAGGAGGCAGCGAGCUCACCGAACCAUUUAUAUAGGCGCGCCCUCGUCACACUGUGGCUGUGGGCGCGCACGGCGCAGUGCAUCAGGCGUAGCUAUCGAAGUUGGAUGAGCCGAGAUGCCAAGUGCAGCCAUUGAUGGAUCCGAGUCACGGGCACGGGGCACCCCCCCCCCCCCCCCCCCCCCCCGGCUGUCCGUUGCAGUGCUGGCUUAGCUAAUUGUUCCUUGUUUAAUAUUCCACUUCCGGCGAAAGGAGAAGCCCAUCGGCCUCCCCCCUCCGCCCUAGCUAUUCCUGCUUUUCGCCCCGGGCCUUUUCCCCCGGAAAAAAUGCAGGGCGCACGUAGACGCUACGGGAGUUAGGCAUCUUUUUCAGCUGCUGCUGCUGCCCCGGUCGAAGGGGAGGUCGAUCCGAUCGAAUACUUGCGGCAGGGAGGAGGAACCAUCAGAGCCGUCAGGUCAAGAGUUGUGGGAGUUAGCUGGACCUGCUUGGGCAGAGGUCUCACGGCCCCGAUUGGCUAGUGCUUGCAUUUUCUUUUCUUUCUUUCUUUUCUGAUGAAAAAGAAGUGCUUGCAUUGUCGACAGCAUAUAUCGUGAUCGAUUAGGGAGAGAGCAGUGUGGAUUAUGGAACAUGCUGUUAUUAGUCAGCUGAUAAGAUGUGGCAUCGAUACUCGCCUGCCGCCAGACAAAUGUUAUAUUCUCUUCGGUCAUCAGGCUAAUUGGCUAAUUCGAAAAGAAGAUAGGUUCUGUGAAGAGUUUAUAGCUAGGUUGUCACACAAGACAUGAAAACAGCUACAACGACUGCUGCAAACUAGGCGUGAGGGCUGGCAUUAUCGUCGUCGUCGUUCUUGUGUUGUUUCUGUUUUCUUCCAGAUCGUCUGAUACUCUGACAGAAUGAAGUAGAGACGACUACCAUUCCCGACCCCAGUGCUUUCCUGAAAGAAAAAAAAUGAAGUAGAGACAUUCCUUUUUAGUUGGCUCCACUAGUAAGGCUUUUGCUCCAACCCACCUCAUCCUUGAGAUCCACUAAACUAUGCCUCGUCGACUCCAGCAGCCAAACACAUCAGGCUCCUUCCCGAAGCAGCCGGCACACGCUCGCCAAGUCGCCAUUGUUACUAUACUACCAUGCAUGUGUUGUCGCCGUCUAGUAUAUCACAUCUGCCACCGCACUAACUCCAAAUUGAAAUUAUUGCUUCCCAGUGUCAACAGUUCACCAUCCUUCUGCACAUCUCACCUCGUCACCGUACCGCAGGUUUGGUGUACCAGCGGUAUGGUUCAGUUGGUUCUGCAUGUGUUGCUUUCUACUCGAUGACACUCGUGGUCACCGUCACCGUUCUACUCAUGAUAAUCAUGGUUCCAUACUUACCACCUUGGUGGUUCCUGUCCUAGUGGCCGCUGUCAAUUCUGUAACCAGCUCUUGAACAUACUCCCUUCAAUCAUAAAUAUAAGCACCAUCAUAACAUCUACUAGUAUGAGACUUUUGACUUGUAAUAUAUAUCCUUUAAAACUUGUGUCUCAAAGUAGAGUUCAUAUUCCGGAACUAUUCUUCAUCAGGGCAUUGUCAGUGUGAGGUUUUGUUGCGCAGUUUAUAAGAGGACAAUGCUAUCUAAAGAUAUUUGAGUUGAUGGAUGAAACUAAGUCUCAUAAAAUUUCAUUUCACUAUUUCAUAGGCUAGUAUAUCAUCUAAAUGUUGCAUUUAAGUUAUCAAUGGGAGUAGAUGAAACAUGUGGAGAUUAAACACAAACCCUCUCAAUGGAGUUUCGCAUGUUUCCAACGUGUUGAAAACAAUGAGCACCAAUUUCUAUCUCUCCACAUAAAUGUUUUGUCAUGUCACCAUAUUACCUGAGGUGGAGAAUGAAACAAAUACGAAACUUCCACUGAGAAUAACCUAACGAGCAUAUUGAUAAGAUUGAACUACCUCGGCCUAGGUCCACGAGUACGACGCGACUAGGAUCUUCUAGAGCUUUCAACUAGGUAUCUUGGGAAGGUUACUAGUAAAUACGUGGGGAUUCAGUCAAGUACAUCAUAAAGUUUUCUAAUUUUAUCUCUAAGGUUCAAGUCGGUUAUGACUAGGCCUAUUUCCAAAGGAUUUGGUGAGAACUACUCAUAUACACCUAGAUUUUAGGAGGAUAUGGUGGACAAAUAAUUGUACAUCAAGCACGAGCCUAAACUUGUCGAGAUCGAACCAUCAUGUUCUUGCCAAGCCAUAGUAUACCCUAGGUCAUAUCUCCACACCCAUAUAAGUACGUUAAGACACAAGCCUCAUAUUAUACUCUAUUCAUCACCAAUGCAAAUAAGGACAUAGGAUGUAGGUUUAUUAUCCGGCCUUGGAGAGCGACACUAGCAUCCUGUAGGUACCAUUAUUUUGUGCAAAUAAAUAUUAUUAUCGAUUUUGGUACUUCCAAGUACUUUUUUCUUUAAUUUUUAUCCUUAGAGAGCGAUACUCGGAUCCUACAAGAUCGGAGUAAUAUAAUUAAAAAAUAAAUUAAAUUACUACUUUUUGUACUUGGUCCCACCUAUUUGAUACUUCUUGGUACUUUUCUCUAGAUACCUUUAAAUACUUCGUAUUUUUCCACCGCACAAUUUCUCUGAAUGGACAGCUCACAUUUUUUUUGACUACUACAGAACUGACUUUAGAUGCCACCCCCUUUAGUCUCGGUUUAAUGUCGACCCGGGAGAAAAGGGGGUGUGCUACAAUUUACUCCCGGUUGGUAUUUGCAAUCGGGACUAAAGGGGACCUUUUAGUCCCGGUUCAAAAAUCAACCACCCGUGGCGAUCCUUUAGUCCCGGUUGAAAAAUUCAGGCACACGUGGGGGACCCUUUAGUCCUGGUUGGUAAGAUCAACCGGGACUAAAACGUCACCCUUUAGUCCCGGUUAGUAUUACCACCCAGGACUAAAGCAACCGGGAUAAAAGGGGGUCCUUUAGUCCUGGUUGGAAACUCCAACCGGGAUAAAAGGGUCCCCACGGAUGGCUGAAAAAAGAAUAAAGCCCUCGGACCCUCUCCUAUGUGUGGCUGGGAAAGGACUAAAUCCCUCGAACCUUUUUAUCCCGGUUGGUAUUACCAACCGGGAUUAAAUGAGGUCUUUAAUCCUGUUUGGUGUUACCAACCCGGAUCAAAGGGUCCUCCAUGAGUUAAUACAAAAGGAUAGCAUCCCCCAAUAUAAACAUAUGCGGUGUAUAGGUGGGAUGGCAAGGAAGCUACGCGUGAGGCUUGAGGUCAUGGGUUCGAAUCUCACGGACCGCGCACGCGCAUAUUUUGCGUGAAAAAUCGCGUGACUUGUGACUUGCGUGCACGUUCAUUUAGUCCCGGUUGGUAUUACCAACCGAGAUAAAAGGGGCGGGAGGCAGCCCCUGGCAUGGCGAUAGACUAAAAGAGGGUCUUAUAUCCCGAUUUUGGGACCCGUGAUAAAAGAUCCUCCCUUUUAUCUCGACAGAUUAAUCCCGGAUGUAUUUUCGGGAGAUAUGCAUCCUACAAACCGGUACUAAUAUCGAGUUUUCUAGUAGUGUUCCAAUCAUUAUGAAAAUCCUUUGUCAACAAUAGUGCACUGUUAAAGACGAAGACUCUUAUUCCAAUACUAGAUCUAGGUGUGCCAUUUUGUCUUGGUUUCGUGAUACCAACGUCACUUGGGCAUUUCCAACAAGGUACAAUCACCUUUUUUCUCCUGAAAUGGAAAGUUUUAUUGAUUUCAAUUUUGUUACAUCAAGAUGGUAUAAAGAGGUUGAAAUACCCCGGGCCUCUUCUUAGAAGCACACAACCUUACAAAAGAGUUAAAGGAAGAGAGAGCGUAGAUUGUUAGCUACUAAUCCAAGUUAGUUGCACUCUCUCCCUUCCUUGAUGGUCACGUUUGAACUUGCCACGGAAUCGGAAGAGAUGGCGGAGAUGAACCACGUGCUGCAAGGUGACGGGGAUGCCUUACGACUUAAUAUUUACAGUUUAGAUCAGAUUUUUUUCGUUAAUAAGGUCCUACGACCCUGUUACAUCUCUCGAGCAGUCGAUCUUAACCGUUGAGCCACGCACACACCCCCUGACUCCCUGAGUUGCAUUGAGCAAGUGCAGCAUAACCUGAGUUGCAUUGAUCAACAAAUGCAGCAUAACCAUGGGUCAGCGAGAAAAAGACAUUAGUCGCGGACACGCAACUCCGACACUCGUCGGAAUGCGCUCAGACAUCAUCGUCGCGCCCCCCUCCUCCUCCGUCCAUCCAAUGAGCGAAGAAGGAAGCCACGAGAUCGAGCAGUUAGGGCGGGAGGAGGAGAGCACACAUCGGCAUCGCUGUGCUGCGCCUUUUUCACAAUUAAGUGACCACGCGCGAGAGGAGAGAGAUAUCGAGAGGGAGGAGGGCGCGGCGGGUCCGGCAUCUCCACCACCUCGCUAGCUAAUGGAGGCAAUCAGGGCAUGGUGCCCGUCCUGCUCGCCAGCUGCUGGCUGGCUAAGCUAGUACUACCACCAGCUAGUGCUUGCUGAUGCAUUCGCCUGCAGGUGCUCCCGUGCCCGGCAGGCCGUGGUGCGCUCCUGUUAGGAUCCGCAUCGCCUCCGUCGUCGUCGUCCUCUCUCCCCCUCUCUCCUCCAACCCUGUCCCGGGCACUGCAAAGAAAGUAACUCCCCCAAUUACCUCGCCUCCGGUUUGGUAUAUAGAAGUGUACGUCAAACAACUACUCCCCGAUGAGGGAUGCGUCAGUGGCGUACACGGGAUAGGAGCGUGUAUCCCUGGGUGCCGAUCGGGUUGACGAGCUAGUGCUGGCCUGGCCACUACGACGCGGAGUAGUAGAUGUCUAGCUAUCGUCUAUCUGCACGCACGCGCGUACGAAAUAAAGGCAGUGCAGUGCAAAAGAGAUGAAAAGGGGGGCGUCAGAUAAGACUGGGAUCGGAGCAUGUCCCGGGCGAAUCGAUGAUCGGCAGUGUUGCGCACUUCCGCGUCGCCGCGCGCGGCCGCGGCCGGCUCCGGUUCCUCCCUUCUGCCGUCCAGUUCAGCCGCAGGUCAGCUAGGGCAAGUUGCAGGGCUGGCCGGCACAAGUCAAGAGGGAUUUGGGCACCCACCCAUUAUAGAAUGCGUGCCGCGGGCAGAAAGGCCGGCCGCGAGCCGCGACAUUGCUGGUAAUACCGUAGCAUAUGCAGUGGCUUACACAUUGGACACUGUCCUUUGGUCCGGAGAUCGACCACUUGGGUAGCUAGCUAGAUGCCCCCUAGAUCACUUACCUGAAAGAUAAGGUAAUAGCUGAUAACAGCCUGAUACUGCACAGAGUUUGCUAUUUACAUUGCACAUUUGCACGUGAAAAAUAUUACUACUCGGGACAUGACCAGGGUGAUCAGGCAAUUAAGCUGCAAAAAUCGUUCUCUAUCCGUGGUGGUGUGGCUUUGAAACCCCCUGGACGACCCUGGUCGUUUCACUGACUAACGGAAGUCUGACUCUUAACCACGUCGGACAGUGGUGUCCGAUUCAAUCAUGAGUUUAAUUUGUCUUCGCCGGCACGCCGUAUCCGCCUUUUGGCUCCUGUCGCCGUCACCGCAUCUUGAAAAGGAGCUCCAACUCCAAGGCAAAAAUACAUGCACUUGCCCGCAUCACUCGCACACCGCCAGCGCCGGCAGUCCGGUGUUGGGAGCCAGCAGGAGGGCCGGAGGAAGGAAGCAUCAUGAGCACACGCUCCACAACGCCGCGCCGGCCGGCUGAAUCUCACGCACUGCAGCCACUCGCCUUUCCCUUUCCUCAGGUCAAUAUCUGUGACAGCGGAAAGGAAAUUACGUGCGCCACGGCCAGUUGGUGCUGCCGACGACGACGCCAUGGGUGAUGCCGUGAUGGUGCGCUGCGCAUCCAUCCAUGCAGAGCACAGCAAUAACGCCAAACGAUGGGCUCGUCACACAGCUGAUCGCGAUCGAUCUUGAUUAGGAAUUUCCACUGCCAAGUUGCUCCCCGGCCGGCCUGUGCUGCACCUGCACUCCACACUGUUCCCUGGGCGACGGCACAACUGCCUGCCUCAUCAGCGAUUAAUAAUCUGCAUGACUACCACUAGUAUAUAUUCUACCUUAUUAGUUACUAUUCCAUAUGUAUAUAUAAUAUAUGUAUAAGGACAGCACAGAAUCAACAGAGACGCAUUUGAUAUCAGUCGUGCUCAGAGAAUCGAAUGAUUUCAGCAUCAGCUUCUUAUUAAAGAUCGGAUCCAUCAGCUAAUGGAGGCUGCUGGGUAAUGCUAACCUUGUCACAUGGGGCUAACGGAGAACCAACGAAUAUUCAGCUGAAAGCUGAUGCUUACGUGAAUCGCGUGACGCCAUUAGCAUCAAUGAUUUGCGACUUUUGCGACACCCGACUCGCCUAAACUUUUGCUUAAAUGCUUAAUUUGGUGCUUAAUUAAGAUAUGGAGUUCCUGCCACUUCAAUCACGGCUAGAAAUAUGAUCAUUCGUCCUUAACUUUUCAUCCGGUACUAAUACCCUAAAUUAGUACCGGGUAGAAAUUUUCAGUCCUCGAAGACCUUUUAGUACUGAGCAACAACACCAGUAUCCCGUAGAGUACUAUUUAGUACCGGUCAAUAACACUGACCGGUAUUAAAUGGUGACAUUUAGUACCGGUUGGUGUUAUUGACUGUUACUAAAGGUCUCUCCACGGGUUAUUUGAAAAAGAAAGCAUAUCUAACUCAAUCACAUGUAUUGUGUAGGUGAGAUGGUAAGGAAGAUUCGCGCGAGGCUUAAAGGUCAUGGGUUUGAAUCCCACGGACCGUGUACGCGCAUAUUACGUGUGACUUGUGACUUGAGACGAUGCGCGUAUGCGGCGCAAAACCAUUUAGUACCGGGCAUUUUGACCGGUACUAAAUGGCGUGGUAUUUAGUACGAACAAACGAUACCGGUGGUACGAAAGCUAAAGUUCCCCAGUGGAUAUUGCGAUAUUCUGGAAAUGCUCCCCGCUUUGUUCGAAAGAAGAAUAGUCCUCUUUUUGGUGAUCUUAUCCGUUGGAGUACAUUCCGCAUUCUCAUCACCCAAUUUGAAACUGUUUAAUUCAAGAAUAUUAAUAUUAGACUUGCUAACAAAUUCCAGUUAAAAAGUCAAAUAUAUAACUUUCUCUAAUAAUUUAUCUACUGGGCCUGGAAGUUCUAUUCCUACUUUAUUACUUAGUAUUCAGUAAAACUGACGCUGUCCUAUGCCGCUAAUCCAAAAGAAAAUUAGGUUGGAAGUUCUCUCUCGCUUAACACUAGUAUUUUGCAACUCCCUCUGCUUGCUUUAAAUACAUGACUACGUUUAUGACGAGCUAAUCAAUUAAGAAUAAACUAAUUAACUUAUCCUUAACGUUAUACUACUCUAUCAACUCGUGCUCCCGCACGGAUUAAUAUUUUAAAACUAUUGUAUUUGAAAAUUAUUUAAAAAAUAAAUUCCUACCUAAUGAUCAAAAUUGUUACCUACUACUCCGUCGUAUUUUCAAUACUCCAACAUAAUACUUAUAUAGCAUGUGUACUUAUCUUUGUUCAAUUAUGAUUGAUUUUUAAUUAUUAAUUACUCUAUACAUAUUUUCAUCUACAUACUUUUUUCAUUUUGUAUCGCACCUUGAAAGAAGGUGUUUAGCAUAAAAUUAAUGUUUUUCAUCACUUCCUCACAUACAUAUAUAAAUGGUCUACAUGGUGACAUCCAUCAUGCGUAUAUACCUUAACUUAGUAUUUCUAUAUUAACAAUGACAUAAAUAGGUAAUUUAGCAAUUUUGGAUAUUUACGUAUGAUGCGCAUGAAGAUAAUUAGAUUAUGAUUUAGGUGUUUACUUUAGAUUAUUUUUAAUGAUGGCAUAAGUGGGUAACUUAUAUACAAAUUUAGAAUGACAUUUGAAGUAAUGCUUUAUAAUGAUAUGCAUGAGUAAAUUGGAUGAAGAUUAUGGUGUUACUUUAGAUUAUUUUUUCUAAUGGUAGAGCUCGAUAAUUUAGAUAUUAGUUUACAAUUUAUUUUAGAAUAUUUUCAUAAUGAUAAUGGUGGGUAAAAUUUUUGAAAAUAUAACAGACCAAUGACUAUAAUUAUUAGAGUUUACAAGAAUGAUAAUUGAUGAAUAUGAUUUUUUUGAGAAUUUAUAAUUUAUAUUUUUUUCUAGCGUGUCUCAUGAGAACUAAUGCGGAGCCUCCCAAGAAAAAAAAUAAGACCACAUUGAUUAAAAAAACUAUUACCUUGAGUUACCUCUCAUUUGUCAAAUAUUCGAAGUCAAUACUUAUAUAGAUAUAAUGAUAUAUACUUAUUAUCUUCAUCCGAUUGUGAUAGAUUUUAGUUAGUAAUUGUAAUCUUUAAAUUUUCACUUUAUGUUGCAGAUAUGUGCUUGGAUUUGUCUACGACAUGUGUUUGAAUUUGUUUAAUAGUUCAAAGUUUGAGCUACAAUUUUAAUAUAGAAAUCUAUAUUCUCAUCAUUUUAUCUAUAUCUUUAUAAAUAGUGAGACACAUCAUGCAUAUAUACCGUAAUAUCAAUAGUGUAAGAAUUAGACAAUGUUGAAUCACAUACUUAUGUGUAUUUUUAAUUAAGGUGAUUUGGAUUUAAAUUAAGGAUAUCUUAUGUUAUUUUUAAUAAUAGCAUAUGUGGGUAAUAUAGAUGCGAAUUUAAGGAGCUACUUUAAAUUAUUUUUAAGUAUUAGUGGUGGGAAAUUUAGUUGCAUUUUAGGUUAUUUAAUAAAAAAAUAUAAUGGCAUAAGUGGGUAAUUUUGACGAAGAUUAGGGGGUUAAUGGAAAUUUAAGGAGCUACUUUAAAUUAUUUUUUAAGUAUUAGUGGUGGGCAAUUUAGUUGCAUUUUGGGUUAUUUAAUAAAAAAUGUAAUGGCAUAAGUGGGUAAUUUUGACGAAGAUUAGGGGGUUACUUUAGUUUAUUUUAUAUAAUGACAGAGGUGAGCAAUUUAAAUAUAGGUUUAGAGGGUUAGUUUAGGCUAUUUCCAUAAUGGCAUAGGUGGGUAAUAGAUCUAAUGGCUAUGAUGAUUUGAGUCUACCGAUUGAUAGCUAGAUGUUUUGCUUUUUUUUUUAGAAUUUCUAGUAUUUCUCUCUUUUUCUAAAGUGACCACUUAGAAUCCUAGGUGGCUUUCACUCGAAAGCUUCAAAAGGAAUCUCCAAUUAAUAAUAUCAAUAAUAGUAAGAUACUUAACAACGAAUGGGGCACUGAUUAGGCGCUGCGAUAUUUAAAAGACGUGCUUAUCUCUGAAUUGUCGUCUCGGCCAUCUUUUAGAAUCAAACACAUCCCUCCUGACUGCAGAGCCAACCAGCACUGAGGCUAAUGCACUUCGCCAAACAUUAUUCCAUAACCUUCUGGAACGAAUGUUGCGUACGGUGGCAGCAACCAAAUGGUGUUUUCAGCAUUCUUACAUUGGACAUUUCUGAACACAGUCAUGGCGCAGCUUCUGCAAGUUGAAAUUGGCAUCGAAAUAAAGCCACGCGGAAGAUAAUCACUAAUAAGUUACUACUAGCUAGUAGUAGUGCUGCCCUCAUCUCAUCAAAAUUCGUAACUGAACCGGCCUUGACGCAAUAUUAACAAAAACUUCUGUGUGCAAACCUUGCAGAGUUGCGUGUUACUUCCUUCUUAAGGCGCCUUCACAAUUCAGCACUUUUUUUUCUUUUUUGAUUUUUUGACCCGAAAUUCAGCAAUCAUCAUGUUUUUGCCAAUUUAAAGAACAACUUGUCCUCGAUUCACAUGUGGAAUACUCCACAAAAUCGCGUCCGUCAUGUUAUUAAUGGUUGGGAUUACAAUCCAUGGUUAAGUAGAACAAUGAAGGCACAUGACAUGUUGCCAAUUUGUCAUGGGAAAAGAUCAAGGGGAUAUGUGUAUUUGCAAACACACAAAUUCCCAGGGACCACGACAUCUUGGGCAAAGGGCACCAAUCAUGUCAUAUCCCAUUCCCAUAGGUGAACCCUUCUUGUGUCCUGCUUUUCCAUCGUCGUGGAGUCAUUCGGCAUUUCGGCCCCGUAUUGAGGCAUCGAACGGACUGCCAUCGCCAUGGAUCGCCGGCGGCCGGCCAAUGCAAGACCUACACACUGAUCAUGCUGCAGCAAUGAGCCGGCUAGCAGGGUUUGGAAAUUUCACAGUGAGGAUUUCAGACAAUUUCUGUAAAAGUGGUCAGGCGAACCCUGAGAUCCUAUCCUGCAGUGCCCGGCCAAGGCGGCAUUAGCAGACACUAUCCGUCCAAAUCUCCAAUCCAAUUGGAUUCGCUCGGUGACGCUGAUAUCCGCGAAGCAAGCCAGGGAUGUAGUGCCAACCCACCUUCAUUCUGGGCCGGGCUUUCCCAAAUCUUGAUGACUCUUGAUGACUCGGCUGGCCCUUACUAGCCCAGCAGCCCACGAAACAUUCCUCGAAUCUCCGGAUAUCCGUGCCGGCAACACAAGACAGCAGGUCGGGCCCACCUGGUCAGCUAAGCCUGCUGCUAGCCACCACCCGUCCACCCCGUGCAAAUCCUUUUUUUGAUAAAGCCCCGAGCUAAUCCUUGGCCUCGUCAUCCGCAGCCCCCACUCCUCAGUGGCCACCGCCGCCGCCUCCUUUUUCCAACUCCUCCUUCCUCCACCACCACCGUACCCGGCGGCCCCCGGAGCCCGCGCAGAUGGCGACCGCGGCCACGGCGUCCGCGACCGCGGCGACCCGCUUCACGCUCCUAGCGGGCGCCGGCCUCCGCAGCCGCGCCGCCCGCCUCCCCACUGCCGUGCGGUUCCAGCGCCAGCGGGGGCUCACCACCACCGCGCUUCUCAAGACCGCCGACCUCCGCCCCAAGGAGCAGGGCCAGCCCGAGACGCUCGACUACCGCGUGUUCCUCGUCGACGGCGGGGGCCGGAAGGUGUCGCCGUGGCACGACGUGCCGCUGCGCGCCGGGGACGGGGUGUUCCACUUCAUCGUUGAGAUCCCCAAGGAGAGCAGCGCCAAGAUGGAGGUCGCCACCGACGAGGCCUUCACGCCCAUCAAGCAGGACACCAAGAAGGGCAACCUCCGAUACUACCCGUAAGGACUUUUGAACCGGGAAAAUUGGAUAAGAAAUUUGCAGUUCUUGACUUACGGUUUAUUUUGUCCUUUUAGAAAAAAAAAUAUCGCCUCUUUUGUUCUAAUUGGAACUAAAACAUGAAAAUCGAGGGCGUGAUGGUAUUCAAUUAAAUGAUAACGUAUAGUAGAAAAGUUGACAUUUUAAAAGGUUUUCGCUCUCUUGAUCCAAUCUGAUGGAUUCUCGUUGUUUCUACCUUUUGGGUUGGCUAUGCAACAGCACCUGUGGUCUAUAUUGUAGUGGGAAAGUUCUGUAGCCUGUAGGUUACUAAAAUUGUUUUGAUGGGAACUGAAAUUGCUAGUCUGGCUUCUUAGUUUGGUGCAAUUCAGCAAUUCAGAUUUGAUGUUGGUCUUUAUGUGAAGUAAUCCUAAUCUUUUCAGUUUGGCAUGUAAGGUCAUGGAAACAAUGGAGUGGCUAAAUAGUUCAUUCAAACUGCUCUGGUCGAAUGCUUGUGGCUGUCACUGCUGUCAAUAUACCCAUUACAGUAUAUCCUAUAAAGGAUGAAAAGGGGUAUUUAGCUUGGUGUUUGUAUUUCAAGUGACAAGGUUUCCAUCAUCUUUGGUUCUUUUGUUAAUGAGUAGAUUGAGAAGAAAAAACUUUUACAGAGAUAUCCUCAAGGAGAAUGGUAGUUGUAAUCAUGCUAGAAACUUAUGAUUCAGUAAGGUACAUUGAUGAAAUGAACAAGGGGAAUUUGUUCUCGAUUAAAAGUCUGACGCUGCUCUGUUAUGCUUUGACUUGAUUUCUUUAUUUUUGGGAUAAUACAAUAUUCAAUGAAGUUUCUUUUUUUUAUGUUGUUAUCAGGCUUCAACUGUGAAACAUACAUGCUUGUUGGAGAUGCAAUUGAGUUUACACUGUUAUUGGCCUCACAGCGCAUUUUUGCACAGCUUUCUUUGACAUUACUUGUUACAUCAGGUACAAUAUUAAUUGGAACUAUGGAUUAUUGCCUCAAACAUGGGAGGACCCGACUUCUGCAAAUUCUGAUGUGGAAGGAGCAUUCGGAGAUAAUGAUCCUGGUAAUGGACAUUUUUAUUUGUUAUCUUUGAAAAAUGUGGUUUCCAUAUUAACUUCGGGUUAUCUAAAUCUUUCUUUCCUGUGGCUUUAUUUUCCAGUUGAUGUUGUUGAGAUAGGUGAAAGACGUGCCAAUAUUGGGGAUGUUCUUAAGGUUAAACCAUUGGCAGCUCUAGCAAUGAUAGAUGAGGGGGAGCUUGACUGGAAAAUUGUGGCCAUUUCUUUGGACGACCCCAAAGCAUCUCUUGUGAAUGAUGUGGAUGAUGUUGAGAAGCAUUUUCCGGUAUGAUUGUGGUCCCUGUCCUUCUCUUUUAGUGCUUGUCCUUGUUCUCCUUCAGUAUCUAGUGCCAAUGUCUCUGGUGGCAAGUGGGGGCAUUUCUCCAUGUUAUGUCACUCUUAUUACUAUUUUUUUUCUUGAGAAAAAAGUGUCACUGUUUUUAUUUUGCCUUUUAAAAAAACAGUUGAAGCAAAUAUUGCAUAAAAUACUCACUCGCUGUUCAUGUAUUGGAAAGUGGGAUGCCUUCAUAUCAUGCCACUUUUCACUACUGAUUUCUGUUUUUAGUUUUUGAGGUUCAGCUGAAGAGUCUGAAAGUAAAUCAUUGGUAGCAAACUUUGGCAUUGACAAGGGAUAAAUGUUACCCCUAUGAUGAUCUUACCCGAAUUAGUUUGUCCUUGUUUUUUGUGUUGUUGUUAGGUUUGUGCGUUGAGUUCAAUCACACUGUCCAUACUGCAACGUUGCCUGCGCAGCCAAUGUCCACUUUCUCUUACAUUUGUUUUGGCCAUUUUGUAAUUUGAUCAGGGGACACUGACUGCCAUCAGAGACUGGUUCAGAGACUACAAGAUACCAGAUGGAAAGCCUGCCAAUAGAUUUGGUCUCGGCAACAAGCCCGCAAGCAAGGUAAGUCUUAACUUCUUUGUUUAGCCUGAAGCACGGAGAUUAUUCUUGCAAUCUUAUGGUAUCCUUGUUCGUGUCAACUAGGAAUAUGCUCUGAAGGUCAUUCAGGAAACCAACGAAUCAUGGGAGAAAUUGGUGAAGAGGAAUGUCCCUGCUGGAGAGCUCUCACUAGCCUAAUCUUCUUUGGUCCAUGGGAAGCCACAACAUUCUUUGAACUGCAUUCUUCUUAAGCAUGUCGUUUUGUAUGCUGUAAGCAUGCUUCUUCAUUUGCAGACCUUUUUGCGAACCGUUUAACAGGAAUAAUCUUGUCGAGUGAAUAAUGAUUCUGGAGCGAGUUCUCCAUAAUGCAACGCUGGAGAGGAAUUAUUCUUGAGCGACUGAAUAUUAUUGCGUGUAUCACUCUCUCCCUCAAAAAAGGAAAAAUAAAUAUUGUGUGUAUCACUCUCUCCCUCAAAAACUGAAAAAUAAAUAAAGAUAAGCAGCAUGUUUUCCAAAAUGGAAACUCAUUCAGGGGUGUUUAGAUACCUCCUGCUAAACUAUUUAGGGGUCCGGCUAAACUUUAGCACCUGUCAUAUUGGAUGUUUGGAUACUAAUUAGGAGUAUUAAAUAUAGUCUAAUUACAAAAUUAAUUGCACAGAUGGAGUCUAACUCGCGAGAUGAAUCUAUUAAGCCUAAUUAGUCCAUGAUUUGACAAUGUGGUGCUUACAUUUGCUAAUGAUGGAUUAAUUAGCUUUAAUAGAUUCGUCUCGCGAAUUAGACUCCAUAUGUGCAAUUAGAAACAUAGUCUAAUUACAAAAUUAAUUGCACAUAUGGAGUCUAAUUCGCGAGAUAAAUCUAUUAAGCCUAAUUAGUUCAUGAUUUGACAAUGUGGUGCUUACAUUUGCUAAUGAUGGAUUAAUUAGCUUUAAUAGAUUCGUCUCGCGAAUUAGACUCCAUACGUGCAAUUAGUUUUGUAAUUAGCUCAUAUUUAAUAUUAAUUAACAUCCGAACAUCCGAUGUGACCCUGCUAAAGUUUAGCACUUCGUAUCCAAACACCCCCUCAGGAAGUCGGAACACUAGUAAACUGAGCCAAAGUAGUUUCAGGCCGUUAAGCAAGUCUUUUACAGCACGAUUAAACAUCGUUUUUGGUGUUGGAUUGUUACAUCUCAGAAGUCAAUAUAGAUAAAAUAUAUCGCAUGCGCAGAAGUUGCAAACCCAACUACCAGAGGCCUGGGAGCUCAAGGAUUUCAUUCGAGUUUUGCAGGAAAAAAUUUCGAUUCCUGCAAGGACAUCAUCGCCCCUGCACGAACCUAAGAGAGAAUUCCCCUGCGCAAAAAUAAGGCCUAAAACUGUAGCAAAAGCAACCACUUUGAUGAUUAGAUCCUACAGAAACUGGUGCGAUCAGGGAAUAAAAAAAACUUCGACUUGAUUACGAUGCAGAGAGCAAUCCUGGAGGUUGUUCACCUUCUAGAGGUCCUCAGCACUUAAAGUUGUGCCUUGCCAAGAGUUACCAACUAACAAUCCAUUUGUGCCUUACCUGCAGAGUGUUCGUGUUUAGCACCAGGUACCAACUCCGUUGUAUGAACAGUAUAAGUGAUUUACCCGGAAAAAAAAACAGUACAAGUGAUUGAACAAUUGCAGACAUUGAAUUCCCUCGCACGUAUCUAGUUAUGGCAUGCCAAAAAACAGGAUGAACGGUGAACUGCUGACCGCAUCGCCAUCUUUCGGUGGACAGAAAACCGCGCUCCUUAAGAUUGACAGAGUCAACGGUGAGGUUCCAAAUUGGGGUUUAUGUGUUAUAAUAGUAGUGUACAAGCUCCCAACCAAGGAAUGAGAAGAGCUGGUCUAAUCAAGUGGUGCUCAGUAGCUCAAAUACCUCAAAAAGAAAACCCAUCAGGAUGCUGACAGUUUGCUCAAGUGAUUAUACAGGCUGAAGCCACACAAAUAUCACAGUGUAGCUGCUAUUCAUCAUAGAACUUAAGUGAGAGUGGGGACGAGAUGGAUUCCGUUGCUCCCAAGAGGCCACCCCUCCCCCCCCCCCCCCCCCCCCCCCCCAAAAAAAAAAAAAAGAGCACCAACACUGGCAAUGCAUAUGAGACGGAUUGAACUUUUUUUUGGACUAAGUCAACAACUUCCAGACAACACUACAAUAGACUAUUGCAGAGAUCGAUUGAGCUAGGUUCAAACAAAUUUCUCAGUCCGGAUCCAGAGAAUGUCCGCAUUGAAGAAUUGCAUAUGAUCAAAAUUGUGCAUACUUAAUCAUCCAUAUAUAAAGGGGUUGCUUUUCUAAUAAAAGUCCCUUUUCACAGUGCUGUUCAAUCUUGAAAUUGUCCAAUCCUAUAUCUAAAUCAGAAACUAAGAGUGCAUGAAAACUAAGGUGGUACCAUCCAUUCAGGAUCAGCAUGGUCGAUUUCUGAAUUCACUGAAGGAUGGCAUUUUUUCGAAACCCACUCAAGGAUGGCAUGACAAAUUGCCAACUUCAACCUAGUGAUCUGAGCCAUGCAAUUAUAUAUAGGCUUGAUGAACUAAACAUACAGAAAUAUAGUUAAUUUACUUGGCUGAAGUUCAGCUCUUUUGCAGUCCAGCUUAGCUGAUUUUCCAGUAUGUGAUGCACUGCAUUAAGAAACGCUUGCUGUGCUAUUUUGCGAACAGAAGUCAGACAAAUGCAGAACAUUGCAACAAUCAGGCAGCACACUCAGUUUCCAUCUCUGAACAACUUCUAAGGUAAUUUUCCUGACACUAAAUUAAACUACAGAACGAGCAACAAGUUCAAAAUAGCUAAGAACAAGUAGUUAGGCUAGGGAAGGAAAUUUCCUACAAAUUACAUGCAGCAUGGCAUUCGUACCAGAGUCAAGAACUGAGACCCUUGACGGUGUCAUUGAGCAAGACACAAAUUUCCUUAGCCAGAUCAUGGCGCUGCAUCUGUGUUUGCAUCUCUUCAUCAAGCUGCUUCCUCCACCUGGUUUCCAUCAAUCUGCCCUCCUUUUUGCUUAGUAGUGAAAGACCCUUCUCCAGGGGAAACCCCGCCAAUGCCCGCUCAUUCAUUUUCCAGUACUCAGCAAGCACCUCGGUGACCACCGGCAUCACGGUUGAUGCAUCUCGGGCCACAGUGUUGCCAAAGCCCCGAACUUUGGCACAAAGAUCAUGCACGAGGCGGUCGUGCCCAGUGGCGGAUUUCCCCGGCGCCUCGUGCCGGAACUUGCUCUUGAAGCGACGAAGCUUGUGGUACACCUUGGCCUCGUCGAUGUGCGGGGAGAUGGAGCCCCUGAUGGAGCGGAGCAGCACCCCUGCGUCCCGUACUCCCGUUUCUGCGGUAUUUGGCCAGUGCGCUCCCGGAAGGCAGCGGCUGCCUCGAGGAGCGUGACCUCAUCGGCGUCGCUCCAUGUCCUGGGAUAAUUAGGGGCGGCGCCGUGGCCUCCGUCGUCCGCGGGUUCGAGCCUCUGGCCUACGUCGACAGCGACGCCCCCAGGUUCGAGACUCUGGACGUCUCCAUGCCCUCCGUCGACGUUCGACCCGCGCGCGGCCGCCACGGUACUCUCCGCCGACGUGCGGAGCCUGCGAUUGGGCUCGCUCCUGCGGGAGGGAGAGCCGCGGGGGCUAGAGUUGGGGUCCUGGCGGUCGCCGUCCAUGCCGCGCUGAGGGCUGGGCGGGUGCUUCUUUGCAAUGGGAGGGGAAGGAGGCGCGGGUGCCGCGUCGGCGUCCAAGGUCGCCGCGUCGGGUGGCAUCAGCGCGUCGACGGGUGGCGCGCGCUCUAUGAUCAGGCGUCGCUCGUCACUGCAGCUCUCUUCAGCGUCUUGGCCGUCCGAGUCGUCCUCGGGAGGGGACACGACGUUGGCGAGGCCCCAUACUUUGGUGGACAAGUCAUGGACGCGGCGGUCGUGCGUGCCGGCGGGACUCCCCGACGCACCGUGCAGGAACUUGCUCUCGAGGCGGCUCAGCUUGUCGUACGCCUUGACCUCGUCGAUGUGCGGCGAGAUGGAGUCCCCGAUGGAGCCGAACAGCGCCGCCGCGUCCGGGAGGCGCGGGACACGGCCGGUGCGCUCGCGGAAGGCGGCGGCGGCGGCGAGGAGCGUGACCUCGUCCGCGUCGCUCCAGAGACUCUGGACGGCGCCGUGGCCUACGCCGACAGUGACGCCCGCAAGCCCGAGCCUUUGUCUGCCUCCGUCGCCGGACCCGCGCGCGGCCUCCGCGGACUCGCGGAGCCUGCGCUUGAGCUCGCUCCUGCACGAAGGGGCGCCGAGGGGGCUAGGGUUGGGGCCCCGGUCGCAGUCGCCCGUGCGGGGAUGGGGACCGGACGAGGGCUUCUUCCAUCUGGGAGAGGAGAGGGACGCGGGCGCCGCGUCGGCGUCCACGGUGGACGCGGACAGCUGAUCCGAUGGCAUCGCGGCGGCGUGGCAGGUGGCGCGCGCUCUUUGGAGUGGGCCGGCGGGUCCGAUGCUCAGCUGCUCACCAAUCUGAGAAGUCGAGGCGGGGAAGCCAGGGGGCUACCACUGGUCGGCCUCAGUGCGCUGUAUCCGCUACUCCACUGUGUUGUCCGGGAUGCGCCCUUUGUUUCGAGGCUGCGUGUGCUGUAGGUGCAACCGUGCAAGCCUUCCCUCAAAAUUCUCCGAAAUCCUUUAUCUAUUCCGAUUCAUGGACUGAAACAUUUCAGUAAUAACCUGUUGCGUUAUAUUCUACUAGAAUCAAUGCUAUAAAAGCUCUAGAUUUCAUUGUCAGCAUACAUAGAAGGCAAAGGGGAAAAAAAAAGAUAGAAGCUAGUCAGAGUCAUCAAGUCAUCUGAAAAAGACUCAUAUUUCUGACGAUGAGUUAUGUCCUAUAGUGAUGAUCCAAAUGCUAUCAUCGUUUCAACAUCCUGACAGCAACUCGAUCUAACAGACCACGUCGCGUGUCCAGAGUCCAGAGAAGAUGCUCUCUUCUUUCUUCCCGGACGCCGGCGACCGGAGGCAAAGAAAGAAGAGGGCAUCGUCUGAAAAGAACAGAACGCCAUUUUUCAGGACUGAAGUUCAGGAAGCGUGGAAAGGAAAGAGUGAUUACAGUCGAAAGAACAUGUGUUCUCUUUCUCUAGAUAUCGGCAAAAGGUUUUCACUCACUUCAGUAACAUUUCUAAAGUUCGAAUUAAGCUGUGAGAGUUUCUACUGUUCUGUUGUUUCCUGCAGUGACAAACUUGCAAGCAAACGCAGAGAAAUUGAUGCGAAGGCAGCUUUUGAACCAAAUAUGAUAGUUCGGACGAGAUGGAUUCAACUGCUCCAAGGAACAUCAAAACCCACUAUUUGCGGAUGGAAAUUACAUUUCGAUGUACAUAGCUUGAACAACUUCGGGAUAGAAUAGCACUGCAUUAUUGGACGGAUUGAGAUAAGUUACAGCAAAUUCAUCAGAACAUGGUUUCAGAGAAUGCACAGUAUCUGAAAACUAGUUAUGUGCGCAAAUGUGCGUUCUUCCACAAUCCAUCUGAAAUAAAAAAAAGUUGCAUUUCUUAUCAAAAUUCCCUUUCGCAACACUGUUCCCUGGCCACCAUUCAUUCAGGAUCAGAAUAGCAAUUUCUGGAUUUGCACAAGGAUGACUCAAGGAAUACUAUAGCAAAUUUCAGUCUGCGGAUCUGAGCAAAGCAGUCAUAUAGGCUUGAUGAUACUAAAUAAAAUCAAAUCAACAUGGUUAAGUUUGCUGAAGCUCAGCUCUUUUGCAGGCCAGCUGAAUAGAACAUAACUGAUUCACUAACCAAAGCAGGCAUUCUUGCCGUGCUGUUUUGUUACAGAAGUCGGACAAUGCAACUGUGUCAUCAUUUUAGAGAAGAUGCUACAACAAAUCGGGAAGAAUGUUUGACCUCCAGCUUUCUCUAAACAACUUCUACUAUAAUUGACCCAACACCAAGUCUGAAAUGAGCAACAAGUUUGAGCUAAUCACACAACACACAGUCAAACUGAGGAAGGAGAAGGAAAUCUCCUACAGAUCUAAUGCAGCAUGGCAUGGCAUUCAUA